rnacentral:lncRNA from 1 species
CACGACUAGGACUCGAAUUCCAAAUUAAACAGAAUCCGUAUACAAAACGAAUUUAAGCAACUAAGGAAAACAUAAAGCCACCCCCUUGUAACCGACCGGGACACCGCCACAGAUCAAUCGGCAACCUCCACGCUUUCCUUCAGAGUCAUCGGCAGUCUUCCUGUUAUGUCCAUCGGCAAACACCAAUAUUGAUCAUCGGCAAGAACACAUCACCACCUUUGGACUUAGUCAUAUUCAAUCCUCUCUUCAUCGGCAAUCAAGCUCAUCGACAACUCUUCUGCAAACUAAUUACUGUUGGUCCACCUGCCGAUCUAUACUCUGCUGGUCUCUAGGUAUGUGUCCAAAAUUGGUGUCAACAAACUCAUCAUGUGAUAUUUUAAAGAUUUUCAAAGAUAAAAUUCUCCAGAAUUCUAGCAUCUCUAGGAACAGGUAAACAGUAGGUCAACCUUCCCAUGUCGUAUUCGUUAACAACUUAGACUUUAGAUCAAGUACUCUUUCCACAAGUUCAGGUUUAGAGCAAAUCAUAAUUAAUAAUAGUCAUGCCUAAACAUGAGAGAGAUUUCAAUUUUGAGAACUAGUCAUAGCAGAGCAACUAUUCAUCAUUUCCAUGUGAGAGCUUAUCAUGAGGGUUCAUAGCAAACUUUAUUUAUUUAUUUAUUUAGCAAACUAAGCAAAGAUAUAUAUAUAAGCACAAAUUCUUUAUUUGGGUUUUUAUGAUUAUGCAUCUUUUUAUUAUUUGAGUAAAGUAUAAACGUGUGUAGAACACUCAGUUGGAUAAAUGGGGGUGCUCUCUCCCAAGCUGGAUUUUGACGUAAUUUCUUCUGAUAUAGCUAGCAGGUGGCGGAGGUGUAUUCGAAUGUUGGCAGCACCCUGACAGCGAUUUAGGAUGUCCUCCGUCUACUAGUCUUCUUUGAUCCAUGAAUUUUGUGAAGCUCAAAUAGACAACAAAGCUUUGUGGAGCUUGUUAAGUGUUAGCAUAAAUAUCUAGCCUUUAUCAUGUUGAGCCUCCUCAAUAAAUGUUACUCUUUUUACUAGGAUCACAAUCUUAUUUUUAUAUUUUCAUUUUUAUAGGAUAGGAAUAUAUUUAUUUUAUUUUUACGCCACCACAGUGAAUGUACUUAUGGGUUUUAUAUCCUGAGCAUACUCACAUGGGGCUUACUUUUUUUAACAGUUUUUAUUUUCUUUUCAAGAUAGCAUGAUUAACUAACAAGCCAUUUAAUGAAAGUAAAUAAUUUAAGGGAAAAGGGCAUGCAGAAAGGAUAAAUAUGCAUAACUACCGAGUUUACCUUUCGGUGAGGGUUCAAUGUUUUAAGUCUUCUAAACAAGACUUCUCCGUUUUCUUAGUCGUCUUGGGAUUCGUUCGAUGGCAUAGUCGGUGGUUCCGGCGGUGCCUCUUCUUCGUGUAUAGUUAUCUUCUCUCUCCACACCUGACUCGGUGCUAUAGUCUCCUCAGGACAGUUCUAUUCAAGCUGUAUGUCUUCAGACCUGUUGACACUAUUUUUUGGACACGUAUCCAGAAUCGGUAGAAUGUGGAUCGGCAAGACAGGGUAAUGGUCACUGGCCUGCAGGGUGGUUGCCGAUGAGAAGACAGCUGAAUGUGGCUAAGUCCAUGGGCGGUGAUAUGUUUGUGCCGAUGGCCAGUAUUAACCGUUGCCGAUGAGGAGUAUGCCGACGACGUGGAGGGAAGACUUGGAGGUUGCCAAUUGGUCCGUGGUGGUGUCUCAGCUUGUCACGGCAGGAUAGUUUUAUGUUUUCCUUAGUUAUUUAAAUCGUUUUGUGCACGGAUUCUGUUUAAAUAUGGAAUUCGAAUUCUACUCGUGUCUGGUUGUAGCUCUUUGAGCAGAGUAUAAAUGUACACCCUAGGGCCUUGUAAUUGGGACAAUCUAUCAAUCAAUCAAAUACAAGUUUCUACUCAUAUUCCAGCAUCUACUUUUUUGAUGACUUCGUCACAUUUUCCUUUUUCAUUACGAGUUCUUAGGAGUUCUUCGGCUUAAGCUCGGCGUAUUCUCAAGUUCCGCGUGACUACCUCUUAGCCGUGGCAUCCAGGCGCAUCGCUGUUGUCGGGACCAAAGUAUUCGAGUUAUCACCUUUGCCGAUAGUAAGGUCAAAUCGGCUGGCACGCCUUAACGUUUAAAUCAGGUAUUAGCCCUUUGUGUUUGCAUGUCAACUUUUGCAUCAACACUUCUUUUGGCACACCCAGUGGGACAAGAUUCAAGAUCAAGAUCGAGAUGUCAACUACUGAGUUUGAUCAGGAGAACGUCAUCCCCGUGACAGAAGCCAAUCUCAAGGAUGAGCAGAAGCAAGCUAUUGCUAAAGCCAUGGAGGAUUACAAGCAGCAAUGCUUGAGGUCCUUCAGCAUAAACAGGAGCGGCGAGGUGAUCCAGAAGGAAGCACUGCCAAUGCCUCGGCAGGUUACUUUUGAUGCCAAUCCUGGUAAACUUCAAGACGUGGUUGAUAAUGCUAUUAACCGUGCUUUGAUCAAUCAAGCUGGUGUGUUGUCCAAUACGGUUUUCAAUGCUGUGGCUAGAACUUUUAAGGAAGGACAGUUGCCACCAAACUAUGUGGGCCCUUUUCAUCAUCAGCCAGGAUCACCGGUGGUCACAGCUCCAUCGGCUGCUACAGCCGCUGUGGGCACAGAAACUGCUGUUCCUCCAAGCACGUUAGGAGUCACUAAUGCACAAUCCACGCCGAUGACGACUAAUCCAUCGACUUCAGAUGAGCAGAUUAAGCUUACUACAGAUCUAUUGGCAUCAGCAAUGUCAGGACCAGUUCCUCCUCCUAACUGGUGGGGUUUUGGUUUGCCCCCAGAGUUCACGGUGAAGACACCUGUCACAUCUCAGGCGGUUGAUAUUAGAGGCAAGGCUCCUAUGGCAUCGUCACCUCCAAAUAUGCCGAUGAAUCAGAGUCCCCAGUAUACUACAACUACUACUGCAAGGCCUUACACUGGGAAUUCUCAAGCUCCAACGUUCCAGAUGCCUAACGCAUCGGCAGACUCAAUGCUGAUGCAACAGAGGUUUAUGGCUCAGCCAGGGUAUAUCAAUUCAAUGAUGAUACCCAAUUACCAGUCAUCGGCAGGGCCUGUGCUAAUGAACGCUAAUAGUGGAGGGCUUGGGCAGCAAGUCUUUCCGCAAAUGGCCCAACAAAAUCAUCAGGCUACCAGAUUUCAACAAGGCCAGAUCUAUCCCGGAUUCCAGAACCAAGGGUUGCCCAACCAGCCAAUGAAUCUUGGGCAGCAGAUCGACGGACAGCAGAUCGGUGGGCAAUAGUUUGGUGGUCAGCAGAUGGGUGGCCAAAUGAUUAACCCGAUGUUCCAUGCAGAUCGUACAACGCACAGACACGUGGAAGCUUACCAGCAGAUGCCAGAUCCGCAUCCGCCUCAUCAGCAAGACGCCGAUGCUUAUUGGGCCGAUAAGAUUGCUGAAGUAAUGAGAGACCAAUUUGGGAUAAAACCCAAAGUCAAUACUUACUCUUAUCGGACACCGUAUCCUCCCGCAUAUGAUUUAAUCCUGCUUCCAAAUCGGUACAAAGUGCCAGAUUUUACUAAGUUUUCAGGGCAGGAUGAUACAUCAACCAUGGAGCAUGUCAACAUGUUCAUCAACCAAUGCGGAGAAGCUGCUAAUAGGGACGAGUUAAGGGUUCGCUUAUUCUCGUCAUCCUUGUUUAGAUCGGCUUUCACUUGGUUUAUAUCAUUACCUCCCAACUCAGUGAUUACUUGGGCCGAUCUGGAGAAACAGUUCCACAAAUACUUCUUUUCUAGGGUCCAUGAGAAGAAGAUCACCGAUUUGGUCAAAUUGAAGCAACGCAAUGAUGAAUCGGUUGAAAGUUUUGUGCAGAGGAUACGGGAAGUCAAGAACAAAUGCUAUAGCCUGGUUCUGGAUGAUCGGCAGCUAGCCGAUUUGGCUUUCCAGGGCUUGUUGCCACAUAUGAGGGACAAAUACGCAUCUUAGGAGUUUGAAAGCUUAAGUCAUUUGGUGCAGAGGAUUUAUGAUCAAGAUAUUAAGCCUUUUGAACCCAAGAGAGCGUGGAAUAAAAAGGUCUCCUUCGUUGAUGAAGUAGCAAGCUCGAACUCUGAUGAAGAACCAGUCAUCGGCUUGGCAGAAUGGGUGAAAAAUAAGAAGCCAAUGUCUUGUCCUUUUGGGCAUAAAGAGCCAGAGAAGUUCGCAUUUGACAUCACCAAGGCCGAUAGGAUAUUUGACUUUCUACUUCAGGAAGGUCAGAUCAAAUUGUCACCCAAUCAUGUAAUCCCAUCGGCUGAGGAAUUGAAGAGGAUGAAGUACUAUAAAUGGCACAAUGCGACUUCUCAUAGCACCAAUGAGUGCAAAGUUUUUAGGCAACAGCUGCAAUCGGCUAUAGAAUCUGGAAGGAUCAAAUUCGAUAGCUCUAAAGCUCAGAAGCCGAUGAAGAUUGAUCAACACCCUUUCCCAACAAACAUGCUGGAUGCUAAGGGAAAGGCCGAGGUCUUAACAUCGGAAGCAGCUGAAAGAAGUGCAUCGGUAGAUCCUCAGCAUCAAAUCACUACUGCUGAUGCAAAAGGAAAAGGUUUGAUCCAGGAGGGAACUAACUCAGGAAGGCCUCCCAGAUCCGGUAUUGUAAUAACUCACAGAAGGCCUAGGGAAACUUGGCAGCACCGUGAGGAUCGGUAUCGAUGCCAGCGAGAGGACUAUCGUCGGGAAGAAGAAAGACGCCGACAGGAGUGGAAUCGGCAUAGGAAUCACUGGAAUUGUCCGUUCUUCAUCCAUUGUUGGGAGGAAAAUAUCAAACUCUCCACUGUCAGAGAUUGUCCUGAGUGCAACGGUUAUACAGAUCGGAUCGGCGCUAUCGCCAUUAUGAUCGGCGAUUCAAUGGGCCGAUUAGGGGGAGAACGUCCGUUCAUGAUCGGCUGGGGGGCAGGCUCAGUGUGCACGAUAGGAUCGGCGAUCGUGUUGAAUAUUUUCCUAGGAACCAGGAAGAACUUGAAGGGAUGGCUAAUGCAUGAGUUCCCGAUGAGUUCAUAUUUUGUAGGGAUGCUAAUACUUAUCGGAUGGAGUCGAGGGAAAAUCAUCGCCCAUCGGUAAGGCAGCAGCAACUUCCUCUAUGGUGUCCAGAGGGAUUGACUAGGACACAGAAAAGGAGGCUGCAGCGUGAAAGAUGAGAGGAGUUAAGCAAGGGCGAGAAUUCUGGCCAGUCAUGGGAUCAGCAACGAUCAGAUCCUAAGGGAAAGGGGCCAUCGGCAGACAUCAACAUGGUAUUUAUGUUGCCGAUGGAAUUCCUUGCGCCAUCCAGUGAUGAUAAGUUGGAGUUUUCAGACCAAAUAGCUCAGUUGGCUCUAGAUCCGAUGACAGCCAUCAUUCAAAAGCCUGCCGAUGAUGAAAGGCAACAUCUGAAGGCUUUGUUUGUCAAAGGAAGGGUGGAUGGUCAGCCAAUGACCAAGAUUUUGAUUGAUGGUGGAGCUGCUAUCAACAUUAUGCCAUAUACGGUAUAUCAGAAGCUUGGAAAAGGGGAUCAGGAUUUGACCAAGACCGAUAUGAUGCUCAAAGACUUUGAGGGCAACGUGUUUUCGGUCAAGGGAGCAAUAUGUGUUGAGUUGACCAUCGGCAGUAAAACCUUUCCGACAACCUUCUUCGUGAUCAGUGGAAAAGGUGCGUAUAACUUGUUGCUGGGAAGAGAUUGGAUUCAUGCCAAUUGUUGCAUCCCGUCUACAAUGCACCAGUGCUUGGUCCAGUGGGUAGGUGACAAGAUUGAAAUUGUCCCGGGAGAUUCUUCUUAUGUUAUUGCAUCGGCAGAGGCGGACACUUACGAAAUGAUUUUCUCAAGGUUGCCGAUUAUGAAAUUCCACCGAUCCAAGCAGUUGAUCUAGUAGAGGUAGACAUAGGUAGUGGUGAUAAAUGGAUAGGUUCGCCGAUGAUGGAAAAUUAGGCCAGGGAUUCACAUCGGCCGAUGAUCUAGUAGAGGUAGACAUAGGUAGUGGUGAUAAACCUAUACCUACUUUCAUUAGUGCUAAAUUGAGUUCUGAGUGUAAGCAACAAUUAACUGAUUUGUUAAAAGAAUACUAAGAUUGCUUUGCUUGGGAUUAUACUGAGAUGCCUGGUUUGGACCGAUCAAUUGUUGAACAUCGGUUGCCUAUCAAGUCUGGAUUUUGGCCACAUCAACAGCCAGCUCACCGAUGUAAUCCUAAUAUUCUUCUUGAUAUUAAGGCCGAAAUAACCAAACUUAUUGAAGCUAAGUUUAUUUGGCAGUGUCGGUAUGCCGAGUGGAUUUCCAAUGUUGUUCUGGUCUAUAAGAAAAAUGGGAAGCUUCGGGUUUGCAUUGACUUCAGGAAUCUUAACAAAGCUACACCGAUGGAUGGUUACCCAAUGCCAGUUGCCGAUCUGCUAGUUGAUGCUACGGCUGGGCAUCAGAUUAUUAGCUUUAUGGAUGGCAAUGUAGGAUACAAUCAAAUAUUCAUGGCUGAAGAAGAUAUUCCAAAGACUGCAUUUAGAUGUCCUUGUCAUGUUGGGUUGUUUGAAUGGAUAGUCAUGACCUUUGGCUUGAAAAAUGCUGGUGCUACUUAUCAGAGGGCUAUGAAUUUUAUAUUUCAUGAGUUCAUCGGCAAGCUGGUAGAGAUUUAUAUUGAUGAUGUGGUGAUUAAGUCUAGAGACUUUACAAAGCAUAUUGCCGAUUUGCGAAAGGUGUUGGAAUGCACAAGGAAACAUGGUUUGAAGAUGAAUCCCAAUAAGUGUGCAUUUGGUGUAUCGGCAGGACAAUUCCUUGGUUUCAUGGUGCAUUAGAGGGGGAUUGAGAUCAGUCGAAGAUCCAUUGAUGCCAUCAACAAAAUAGUUGCUCCGACCAACAAGACUGAGCUCCAGUCCUUGAUCGGCAAGGUAAAUUUUAUCAGGAGAUUUAUAUCUAAUUUAUCUGGUAAAAUUCGUGCUUUCAGUCCUUUACUUAAGUUGAAAGCCGAUCAAGAAUUCGUUUGGGGGAAGGAACAACAAUUGGCCUUGGAUGAAAUCAAGAAUUAUUUGGUGAAUCCUCCAGUCCUGAUUCCAACUCAAAGGGAAACCCUUCAGAUUGUAUUUGUCUACCGAUGGGUUGGUCAUCGGUUCGGCGUUGAUUCAAGAAUUUGAAGGGAAGGAACGUGUGAUUUAUUAUUUAAGCAAGAGGAUGAUUGAUGCUGAGACCAGGUAUUCGGCUAUUGAGAAACUGUGCUUAUGCUUGUACUUCUCCUGUAUCAAAUUAAGGCAUUAUUUGCUAUCGGCCGAAUGCACGGUUAUUUGCAAAGAUCAUGUGAUCCGAUACAUGCUAUCUAUGCCGAUCAUGAGUGGCAGGAUCGGUAAGUGGAUUUUGGCACUGUCAGAAUUCGAUCUGCGUUAUGAAUCGGCUAAAGCGGUUAAAGGACAGGUUAUGGCCGAUUUUGUGACUCAACAUUGUGGUACAAUGGAGGCUGUGGAAAUUGUACCUUGGACGCUCUUCUUUGAUGGAUCCACAUGUGACCGGGGGGCAGGAAUCGACAUAGUGUUAAUUUCCCCUCAGGGGAGGAAAUAUAAAUUUUCCUUACCGAUUGUUGCCACGUCAACAAAUAAUCAGGCUGAGUAUCAAGCUUUGAUAAAAGGAUUAGAAUUACUAAGGGAAGUUCAUGCUGAUGCUGUUGAAGUCUUCGGGGAUUCUAUGCUAGUUAUAAAUCAAUUGGCUGGAAGCUAUGAAUGCCGAAGUGAAGUCCUCAUAACUUACUAUGAAAGGAGUAUGCAAUUGUUGAAGGGAUUCAAGGAUUUCCGAUUAGAUCAUGUUCCUCGAUUGCAUAAUGAAGAGGCUAAUCGGUUGGCUCAGCAUGCAUCAGGAUAUCAGCCUAUGAUUAAUACGAUAUCGGCAAUCGGUGCCGAUGAUUGGAGAAAAGAGAUCAUUGAUUAUUUGAAGGAUCUAUCCAAGAAAGUUGAGAGACGAAUUCGGUUUCAAGCUACCAAGUAUGUGCUCCUCGAAGAUGAAUUGUAUUAUCGAACUAUUGAUGGGAUUCUUCUCAGAUGCUUAGGUGAUGAUGAAGCUAAGAGUUUGAUGGGAGAAAUCCAUGAAGGGGUAUGUAGAGCACAUCAAUCGGCUUUUAAGAUGAAAUGGAUGAUUAGGAGGAAUGGGUAUUAUUGGCCGACCAUACUUGAAGACUUCUUUAAAUAUUUCAAGGGAUGUCAAGGAUGUCAGAAAUUUGGCAAUAUUCAAAGUGCACCCGCAUCGGCCAUGAAUCCUAUUGUCAAACCUUGGCCGUUCCGGGGAUGGGCUAUUGACUUAAUCGGUCAGAUUUAUCCACCAUCUAGCAAAGGGCAUAAGUUUAUCUUUGUUGCCACUGAUUAUUUCACCAAAUGGGUUGAAGCUAUUCCUUUGAAGAAAGUUACAUCGGCCAAUAUGAUUGAUUUUGUGAAAGAGCAUAUUAUUUACCGAUUUGGAAUUCCUCAAACAAUUACUACCGAUCAGGGUACUAUGUUCACAUCGGGGGAAUUUGAUGAAUUUGCAAUCGGUAUGGGAAUUAAAGUAUUAAACUCUUCUCCUUACUAUGCUCAAGCUAAUGAGCAGGCCGAGGCAUCUAACAAAGGAAUUAUCAAGAUCAUUAAACGAAAGAUUGAAGAAAAUCUUAGGAGGUGGCACACAUUGUUAAACGAAGCCUUAUGGUCAUACCGAAUGGCUUGUCAUGGAUCGACCAAGGUUUCACCUUAUUAGUUGGUAUAUGGGCAUGAUGCAGUGUUACCUUGGGAAAUUAAGACUGGGUCUAGGCGACUAUCUUUUCAGGAUCAGUUGACUGCCGAUGACUAUGCUACUUUGAUGACAGACGAGUUGGAUGAUCUAGCAGGGCAUCGGCUAAGGGCUUUGAUGAGUAUAGAAGAAAAUAAGAAGAGAGUUGCUAGAUGGUAUGAUAAGAAGGUAAAGGCUAAAGAAUUUGCCGAUGGAGACUUAGUAUGGAAAUUAAUCUUACCGAUCGGGACUAAAAGUUCAAAAUUUGGGAAGUGGUCUCCCAAUUGGGAGGGUCCCUAUCGGAUAAGUCGAUCAGCUCUUGGUAAUUGCCUAUAUUCUAGAAACUCUCGAAGGAGUUGAAUUUCCCAGAGCAUUAAAUGGCAAAUAUCUAAAGAAGUACUACACCAGCAUAUGGGUUGAUGCAUGAAGGUUUAAGUGCCGAUAACAUUCCUAUCGGCUGGAUCAAAAUAUCUGGAGCUGAACUUAGUGUUUUGAAAGGCGCCGAUAACAGUCCUAUCGGCUAGACUGAGGUACUAGGAGUGCUCAAAAGGGGAGAGGAGGAUGUAUCGCCGAUGAAGAGCUCAUGUGUUCAGCAGCGACUGGAUUGCCAAUAUGGCACGCAGACGGAUCUGGUUGGCCUCCUCUAUCUCCUUCACGUCGUCAUCGGCAGAGCCCUCCACCGGCUUCAGCUUCUUUUUCAUCUACAGCGCCUUACGGCCAUGAAUGUUUCGCUCUUGCUCAAGAAGCUUGAUUGUCUCCGGCAGUUGGCUUUCUUCUUGUCGGGCUUGGGACAAGGCAUCCUCUACUUGCUUGAGCUCUGCCAACAGGGCUUCUCUUCUCGCCGAUAGAUCAGAAAUAUUUUGCUUCAAUACAUUUCCUGAAGACUGUAAGAUGCCGAUGUUCUUGUGCUUCUCAUCGGCAAGGAGCUUCAGUUUCAUCAUCUCUUCAGACAGCUGGGCAUGAGCAGCUCUGUCGGCGAGACGUUGGGCAGCCCUCUGAUACUGCAGCUGACGGCUCUCUAGGUGUGCAGCUUGGAAGAAGAUUUCUUCAGCAUCGGCAGGAAUUUGGCCUCUGAGGGUCUUGAACAAAACCUUGGCUGGGUCGAAAUCAUCAACCAGCUGGGCUGUGUCUUGGUGAAGGAGGGCUGAUAACUCUUCUAGCUUUGCCCUGACUUCUGCCGAUGUAAUUCCGACUGCUCGGGAAGAACUUGCCUCCUCACCUUCGUCUUCAGAGAUGUCGAUGGCAAAGGAAAACAGACUGUCGGGAGAAUCCUAUUCCUAAAAAAGAGAUAAAGUGAGCUAUUUCAUGGUCAAGUAUUGAUAAAAACCAAUGGGGGUUGGAUGGCUUACUUGUUUCAAGGCAAUCUCUCGCCUUUGACUGGAAGAUGCUGGUGGAACUAUUGGCUGAUCGGCUGGAGUUGCCGAUGGGACUAUGUCGGCUGAAAAAAUAACAGAAAUAAUUAUAAGACAGAAAAGAUAAGUUCAUCAACAAUAAUUUCAUAAAAGUAUGUUACCUUGUGGGGGAGCAGUACUUGUCUGGAUGGAAGAGACUACCGAUGCUAUAAUGGAACCUGCCGGGUCGGUAGUUUGUGUUGACGGUCCUUAAGUACUAAAUUUAAUAAUCAAAUAAACAAAGAAAAGGAUCAAUAUGAAACAAACAUCAAGAAUUAGGGUUUUAUCUGACAGAAUUCCACGAGUUUUGGUGUUUGUCUAUUUCUGCAGGGGUUUAUCAGAAAAUAUGGAGAGAAGGCCCACAUGUCAUGUUUACAACGAGAUAAUUACGUGCCGCGCAAUUUUUCCCAAUCUAGAAGGAUCCAGAAAAAAUGGGAACGAACGGGACGCGAUUCGGGCUCGGGAGCUGGGCGGCCGCCCACCCCCCUUGGGCGCCCGCCCUGGCCAGGAAGCCAACUAGGACUCUGCUUCGGGACAACUCUCCACCGACCUAAAGGAUCAAUCUAAACCAUACAGUCUAUGUCGGUUUGAUCCAAUGGCUCACGUUCACUUGAGGGGACUAUAAAACCAGACCCCCUGGCCCCUGGACGAGAGAGGAGAAAUCAUUAUUCAGAGGUAGCCAUCAAAGUUAGGGUUUAGAUCUCUCUCCCACAGAGAAUUAGAAUUAGCUACUCCCUAAUCCUUCAAGUUUAGAGGUUUGAUUAGAUAGCAAUUAGAGAAGUAGAGCACUACGCUCUGGAUUCGGAUCUUCGGUAAUAAAGAUUGGUAUUAUUCAUAUCUUUCUCUAAUUCUAUUGUUCUAAUUGCAUUAUGUGUCUAAUUAUUAUGUUCUUAGUUUGCUCUAGUUCUAUAUUUGAUAUAGUUCUAAUUGAUAAUGAGUUUAUGUAUAAGUUUGCAAAGCGCUUAGCUCUUGACGCGAGGGAGUUAAGUGAUAGAUCACAUGUGAGCGUGGCGCUUAGAUGUUAUUUAUCUGCAAAUGUAUCUUAUUGGCCGAGUCGUGUGGUAGUUCACGAUAGUGACAGCUUCGUUGAUUCUUAUAUAGUCCACCCUCCGUUGAUAGGAGAGGCAGAACCGGUAUUGUGGAGUAAGUCAUGCGAUGUUCUGAUUUACUUUAUCAAUGUUCCUUAUACAUGAAUGAAGAGUCUUUUAUGCUAUAUAUGAUCUUGUAGAUAACUAGAGUAGAUUAUGACUUAGUAGUUAGUAGAUAACUUAGAAUCCAUUCUCUAGCUAAUCCGACAUCACCUACAUAUAUGAGGAGUAGUCUAUUUUCUAAUCGCUGUGCUAUCUACCCAUGAACUUAUACUUUAUUAUCAUUAUCUUUAUGGUUUACCCCCUGCUAAAUUAAGUGACUGUGUGACGAGUUUCUCAUUAGUAAUCAUGUUCUUGCAAGUUUAUCUCUAGUCUAUGCCUUGAUAGAUUUCAUCCCUUCUUCUAAUUCCAUCUUCUUUAGAUCCCUAGAGCAAAAUUAUAAAUAACGAUACCUGGAAUACUUAUCCUGGUGAAAUGCUACAAUGAGGUGUUUUAUCUGUGCGCUUGCGGAUAGAAUAGAUUAUUUUCUAGAGAGCCUUUACAUUUAUAAAUACCUUUGUACACUCUGGCGCCAUGCUAGGGAUGACAACCUAGUAUCUAAGUGGUGUUAGCUAGUGUCAACAAGCAUUUCUGGCGCCGUUGCCGGGGAGUUGUAGGAAUUAUAGGAAUUAUACGAGUCUCAGGAAUAAGUCAUAAAAGGGAACAAAAGGGUAAUAUUAAGGAAAGCUAGAAAAUCAAUCAAGGUUAUUCAUAUAAAAUUUUAGACUAGACUAUAGAGAAAUAAUUGCAUAAAACAGCUACUAAGUGAGAAAUCAUAACAAGACACCUCUGCUUUGGCAGGUUCACCCUGUUGUUUUUCUAUGUUUAUAUUUUUAUACAGGGUAUAACAGGAUUGACUUUGGGUACAUUCAACUCUUCAUCAUCAGAACCAAAGCAAUCAAGAGAAGAAGAAGCUAGCUACCAAUUGCUGAAGCUAUGGCACAAAAGACCUUGCAAGAAUUCUCUGCUCCAAGUCUUGACAACAUUCCAACUGGUCCAAGAUUUGCAGUAGAAGAAGGAAUACCAGAGUUUGAGCUCAAGUCAAGCCUCAUCAAUUUGGUGCAAGCUACACAAUUCAGUGGAAAGGCACAUGAAGAUGCUAGUGCACACUUGCAGAAUUUCUUAGAGAUUGGAAGCACAAUCCACAUCAACGGAGUUAACAAAGACGUCAUACUGCUUCGCCUUUUUCCAUUCUCACUAGAAGGAAAAGCGAGGAAGUGGUUCUACACUCAUCAAGAUAACAUCAACAACUGGACGAACUUGUCAGAUGCCUUUCUAUCAAAGUUUUUCCCUAUAGGCAAAACAACUGCCUUAAGAGAAAAUAUUGUCAGUUUCCAACAGCAGAAGACAGAAGCCAUUUCAGAAGCAUGGGAGCGUUUUCAAGGAUACAUAUCAGAUUGUCCUUACCAUGGAAUGGCCACAUGGUUACUUAUGCAGACCUUCUACCAUGGAUUAACCCAGAAGGCUCGUGAGUGCCCAGAUGCAUCUGCUAAAGGAUCAUUCUUGGAGCUUACAACUGGAAAAGCAGAGAUACUUUUGGAUAAGAUAGCAGAAAACCAAAGCUAGUUCCAAGAUAAAGCUCAACAAUGUCAUCAAACUGAAGAAAUACCAGAAGAAGUAAAUGCAUUAUCAGCUAAGAUGGAAAAUUUGCUCCAUUGGAUUGACCAGAGGGCCAAGUUCAAAGAAGAUCAAAGGGCCAUUGAGACAGCAUACAAAUAUCAACCAACUUCAAGUCAACCCAAUAGCAAAGGUAUGAAUUCAGGUAAUACUGUCAAGCAACUUUCAUUAAAAGAGAUAAUUGCUCAACAAACCAAAAUUAAUGAUGAAGUUAAACAAAGGCUAGAUACAAAUGAAUCAUCUCUAAAAGAUAUACACAAUAAAAUGGAUUUUCUACUAACUGCCUUUGAUGAGCAAAACACUCUUAAUAAAAGGGUAGAACUUAAAUUAAUAAAGAUAGCUGCUGCACUGCCUGUUGCUACUAACAUUGAGCAGGUAAAGAAUAUAACUACUAGAGGAGGCAAAGCUACCAGAGAUCCAGCAUACCCAAAACAGAAACAAAGGACAUCAGCACCAGUGCAACCAGCAGUGAUAGAAGAAGAAAGCCCAGUUGAAGCAGAAGAUCUGCUCCAACCACCAAGAGCUAGAGAAAUGAGGAAAGAUUUUUACGACACCAACUAUUUGCCAUUUCCCAGAAGAAACAGAGGACUGCAGUCGGAUGAGCAGUUUGGUAAGUUUGUCGAGGUCAUUCAGAAAUUAUAUGUCAACAUACCUCUGCUCGAUGCCAUACAGGUACCUACAUAUGCAAAGUACAUCAGAGAUAUUCUUAACAAGAAGAGACCACUGCCCACCACUGAGGUUAUCAAGCUGACAGAAGAAUGUAGUGGGCCAUCCUCAACAAACCACCAAAGAAGAAGGAAGAUCCUGGAUGUCCCACUAUUGAUUGCUCGAUCGGAAACCAACACUUCAACAAUGCACUUUGUGAUCUCGGAGCAAGUGUCAGUGUGAUGCCAGCAUCAGUCUACAAAAAGCUUGAUCAUGCAACCCUAGAACCAACAUCAAUGUGCCUACAACUAGCGGAUCAAUCGGUUCGACACCCGUUGGGCAUCGCCGAGAACAUUCCAGUCAAGAUCAGAGAUUUCCUUGUGCCAGUAGACUUCGUAGUACUGGACAUGAGUCCUGACUCAAAAUUAUGCAUCAUCCUUGGAAGGCCAUUUCUGAGCACUGCCAAUGCCCACAUUGAUGUCAGAAAAGGAGAAAUCAAGUUCAACAUAAACGGUCAAGAAGAACACUUCACAUUCAAACCCAGAUUAGAGAGAGACUCUACAGUGAAGGAAGUUCAUGAAGAACCACUGGAGACACCAUCUCCGGAGGAAGGAAACUCAGAAGAUUAAAAGAAUUGGAGGUCCAGCUUGGGGGACCUAAAAAUCCCAAACCCUCACCAGGAGGUAAAUCGGUAUUUAUCCGCAUUAUUAUUUUUCUCAUAUUUAAUUUCUUGCAUAAUUAAAUCUUGCAUUAGUCACAUUUAUUCAUAGCAUUAUUAUAAUAAUCAAAAAGCCCCAGAUAAAUAAUAUUCGUGGUGUGUAACAACCCAUAUUUAUUAAUUAUUUUGGGGGCGCAAAAAUAUUUUCCAAUAUCAUUUUCAAUAAGUUUCGAUUCUCAUAGAUUUUCCUGCAUUAUAUUUAAUCAUAUAAAUCUUCUAGAAGCAUGACCCACACUCUUUGGGUCCCACAUGUCAUACACUUCAUCUCACAUACAUCCCAUCACAUAAUUUCAUCCACCAAUAUGUUUCCACUCACUUGACAUCUUUCCACCGUCCAACCACCACCAACACAACAUUAUUCUCCGUGAGAUCAAUGCAAGGAAGCAUGUGGAGGAGGCACACCCAGGAUGGGCAUCACAAGUGGGCGCCUGCCCACCUACCAAGGGCGCCCGCCCUGUCCCCUACUCAGCCUAUAAAAGGCCACCUCCAGCUCCCCUUCUCUUCAAACAAACACUUCAUAAAACCACACAAAUCUCAGUUUCCCGAGGAGGAGCUUUUGUAGUGAAGAGAAGAGAGUAGAAAGAAAGAGAAGAGUAGAAGGGAAGGUUGGAAGUUCUUUUGAGAGAGUGAUUAUCACCUAGCAAGUAGUGAUCCCGUUGUCUAAGCGGAAGUAAAAGUUGUUUAGGGGGAGGCUCUACCAAAAUAGAAACUUGUCUUGAACAAUUAAACCCUUGACUACUGACACUCCGGACAGCUAACCACUAACAUUUUAUCUCACAUUUUCCACCAGUUGUGUUUUUGCCAACUUUUGUUUGCAGGAUGUUUAAGAAGGUGAAGAAUGCAGGGAAGGCUCUCAAGAACAUUGGUACAAGGAGUUCAACCCGACACUCCUCACAGCCAUCAGAGAUGAGCGUCGAUCCGACACCCACACAAGCUCCAUCAUCUUCAUCAGGCCAGCAAGUCAAGGUCCUUCUCAAGAUAGGAGACCUUGGACUGAAGACCCGAAGAGAGAAGGAAGUCUAUCAGCAAUUGAAGAACAAGGAUUUCAUUCACACUCCUACUAUCGAUCCAAUCCUACUACGAGAAACAGGUAUGGACACUGAAUUUGACUUAAUUUUUCAAAUGAUGGGUUGGACAAAUUUUUGGAAUAUAACUGAGCUGGGUUCUCGUCUUCUCACCCUCGAAUUUCUUUGCACUUUACAAUACUAUGAGGGGGGAAUUGCUUUUCGGAUAUUUAAACAGGAAAUUAUGUUAUCUUGGAGAGAGCUGAGCGACCAUCUUGGUGCAUCCUGAACAUUGACUCCGAUUUACCCGAUUUUGAGAGACACCAGUUUUGGAGAGAAAUAUCUAGAGAUAAUUUUUACAGUCAAGCCCGAACCAGUGACAUGGAACACCCCACUCUUAGGAUGUUUCACAAAUGGCUUGGGUACAAUCUAUUCUAUCGCGAUGAUAUUAGGAAAGUAAGAGUAGGAGAUUUACAACUUUUAUAUGCUGCUAUUAGUAAAGUACCCACUUCACCUGUCACACUAUUAGUUUCACAUUGGCUUAGUAUACCUAGUCUUCAGGGACCAGUAGGAUGUACUUCACUUAUCACUCGUCUAGCCUCUAAUCUUCAUUUAUUAAAAAACUCAUCGUUGGACUUCAUAGAAGAAUUAAGAAUUUAUCAUGGCUAUGACACAUUUAGACAAGCUUGGAUGUUAAAGAAAGAGGGAAAUAUAAUGUACAUGUUGUAUGAUGAUAAAGGCAAGAUUCGGUUACCUAACCCGAACCUUGGCCUCUACUCUGUGCAAAACUUUUUGAUUGAGAUUGCAGCAACACCAGUGAACCAGAGAACUCCACAGCGAGUGGCAUCUGAAAGGAUAACCACUCACCGAGAACGCACUUGGUAUGGAGCUGACCAUGGACCAGAAGAAGUAACGCACCUGCAUUAUUGCGAUUACAACCGUCGAGUCCUUCGAGACCCAUGGGCUCGUCAUGCGCAACCACAAGAGACAACAGAAGAGACAUGGCCGGAGAGCCAAGAUCACCAGUGGACAAACCCGCCUUUCCAUAUGGGCAGGUACUCCACUGAUCCAUAUGGAGCUUCAGGAUCCAGACCUCCGCCCCAAUUUGAUGCAGGACGAUACUCCGACGCCUCCUACACCUUCACGAAUGACUAUUAUCAAGAGGCCAGUGCUUUCUUCACUCGUACCGACAACACCCUCCUCGACAUCCAGAACACGCAAGCAGAACAUGGAAGACUCCUGGAAGAACAAUAAAAAUGGAACCAGGACCAUGCCGCUGCAGUGCAAGAGCUGAGACAAGAUACAACAACAAUGAACGACAACAUCACAACCAUGAUGCGGUUCUGGAACAUCGGGUAAGACCGACGGCAACAUCCAGCUUGGGGGAGUUCCUCCCUAAAUUUAUCAAGUAAGUUUCUAUUUGCUCUUCUUAUUUAUUCUUUUUUAUUCUAGUAUUUAAUUUAUCUUAAAGGAAAAACUUAGAAAACUAAAUAAAUAUUUUCUUGCUUUAAUUUACUGCACUUUAUAAACACGAAAACAAAAUAAAAAGAGUGUGUAGAUAAGUGUGUUUUAUUUUUUCUGCUAAGUUUAAUCUCUAGAAAAAAUAAAAAGACCAAAAAAAUAUGCAUGAUGGAAAUGAUGAACAGUUGCUCUGUUUGCUUACUUACAAGUACCUAGCUUCUAUAUUAGAGUUCUUCCAGAAAUUACUAAAACUGAAAUUACUAUCUUUGGAAAGCAUAAAACUAAAGUCUAGGUAAGAGAAAGGCAUGAUAUAAAGUUGAGCUACUGUUUAUCUUGUUCCUACUACACUAAGUUCUAGAGAUUUAUUUUUGAAAACUUCCAAAUCACAUGAUGAGUUCCUAGCAUAACAAAAUUACCUACCACAGCCAUACUUGCUAUAACAUCUUUCACUAUAUUCACAUUGAGUUUGAUCGAGCUGUGUAGAUCCUUAGGAGCUUUUCAUGUGGUUAAAUUAAGAUAUUCACUUGCACACAUCUACCACAGCAUUCAUCAUCAAAAUUGCUAAAAAUAUAUUAUCACUCACAGUCCCAAAUAUUGUUAUUCUCUCUCUCUAAAAAGAUUCAAUGCAGAAGAGGCAUGGGUUAUGCAAAAAUAUACGAGGAAAUAAAAAAGGGGCAAGUGCCCAGAACCUCGAAAAAGAAAGAAAAAGAGUGAGACGAGAGGUAAAAAUGGACAAGUGUCCGAAGUAGAAUUAGGGGUACAAAGAUGCCCACUUGAGCGGAAAAAAUGGACAAGUGUCCGACAGUAGAAUUAGGGGUAUCCACUACCCACCUGAAAAAAAAGAAGAAAAAGAGAUAGCCCAUGUUCUCCCAAAGGAAAGAUCAAAGAAGAGGAGAGAUAGCAAUAUGAGGAGCAAUGAGAACUAAAUUUUAUUAUCACUUAUGCAUUUUCACCAUCACUAUCAUUUACUCCAUCACACAUGCACAUCUUGAUUUAAUUAUAUGCUGAGUUCCUUUGGAUCCAUGGCUCGAUUAGACAACAUAUGUAUGAGCUAUUUUUCACUCCUAUGAGCUACACUUAAAUAUUCCAUUAGCUAUAGGUAAGUGAUAUCAUGGUAAGGAUCCACAAAUACCACAUAUAGAGAGACUUGAGAGAAUCAUUGCUGGGAACUCUGAGUUUUAUUUUGAAAACCUAUGAAAAACUCUAGAACAAAAGUGAAGUAUAGACAAGAGGGAUUGUGCUUGACUUAACUAUUUUGUCUUUUGAUUACUUAAGAUUAAGUGCAGGUACUAAACUCCAUAACACUUCACUUUAAUCUGGAAGAAUUUUUAUGUAAAAGCAUGUGUGCCUGUCAGGAAAGAAAACAUCGAAGCAACUCCUGAUCCAUCUGAGUUUAGCUGUUUGCUCAGGGACGAGCAAAGGGUAAGCUUGGGGGAGUUUGUUGACGGUCCUUAAGUACUAAAAUUAAUAAUCAAAUAAACAUAGAAAAGGAUCAAUAUGAAACAAACAUCUAGAAUUAGGGUUUUAUCUGACAGAAUUCCAUGAGUUUUGGUGUUUAUCUAUUUCUGCAGGGGUUUAUCAGAAAAUAUGGAGAGAAGGCCCACAUGUCAUGUUUACAACGAGAUAAUUACGUGCCGCCCAAUUUUUCUCAAUCUAGAAGGAUCCAGAAGCCAUGGGAACGAACGGGACGCGAUUCGGGCUCGGGAGCUGGGCGGCCGCCCCCCCCCUUGGGCGCCUGCCCUGGCCAGGAAGCCAACUAGGACUCUGCUUCGGGACAACUCUCCACCGACCUAAAGGAUCAAUCGAAACCAUACAAUCUAUGUCGGUUUGAUCCAAUGGCUCACGUUCACUUGAGGGGACUAUAAAACCAGACCCCCUGGCCCCUGGAGGAGAGAGGAGAAAUCAUUAUUCAGAGGCAGCCAUCAAAGUUAGGGUUUAGAUCUCUCUCCCACAGAGAAUUAGAAUUAGCUACUCCCUAAUCCUUCAAGUUUAGAGGUUUGAUUAGAUAGCAAUUAGAGAAAUAGAGCACUACGCUCUGGAUUCGGAUCUUCGGUAAUAAAGAUUGGUAUUAUUCAUAUCUUUCUCUAAUUCUAUUGUUCUAAUUGCAUUAUGUCUCUAAUUAUUAUGUUCUUAGUUUGCUCUAGUUCUAUAUUUGAUAGUUCUAAUUGAUAAUGAGUUUAUGUAUAAGUUUGCAAAGCGCUUAGCUCUUGACGCGAGGGAGUUAAGUGAUAGAUCACAUGUGAGCGUGGUACUUAGAUGUUAUUUAUCUGCAAAUGUAUCCUAUUGGCCGAGUCGUGUGGUAGUUCGCGAUAGUGACAGCUUCGUUGAUUCUUAUAUAGUCCACCCUCCGUUGAUAGGACAGGCUGAACCGGUAUUGUGGAGUAAGUCAUGCGAUGUUCUGAUUUACUUUAUCAUUGUUCCUUAUACGUGAAUGAAGAGUAUUUUAUGCUAUAUAUGAUCUUGUAGAUAACUAGAGUAGAUUAUGACUUAGUAGUUAGUAGAUAACUUAGAAUCCAUUCUCUAGCUAAUCCUACAUCACCUACAUAUAUGAGGAGUAGUCUAUUUUCUAAUCGCUGUGCUAUCUACCCAUGAACUUAUACUUUAUUAUCAUUAUCUUUAUGGUUUACCCCCUGCUAAACUAAGUGACUGUGUGACGAGUUUCUCAUUAGUAAUCAUGUUCUUGCAAGUUUAUCUCUAGUCUAUGCCUUGAUAGAUUUCGUCCCUUGUUCUAAUUCCAUCUUCUUUAGAUCCCUAGAGCAAAAUUAUAAAUAACGAUACCUGGAAUACUUAUCCUGGUGAAAUGCUACAAUGAGGUGUUUUAUCUGUGCGCUUGCGGAUAGAAUAGAUUAUUUUCUAGAGAGCCUUUACAUUUAUAAAUACCUUUGUACACUCUGGCACCAUGCUAGGGAUGACAACCUAGUAUCUAAGUGGUGUUAGCUAGUGUCAACAGUUUGUUCAUGCACGGCAGCCGAUAUAUCUUCUGGCUGAGGUACUUCUAGUUGAGGCUCUUCUGGUUGGGGUUCUUCCACUUGUGGUGCUUUUUGUAGCUGAGAAGGGAAUGGUACCUGCUGCGUCUGUGCUUCUAGAGAGGAAGGAGAAGAUUCUACUAGGAUUGGUGACACUGGGGGAGGAGAAGGUGUUGCUACUCUUUGGCGCUUUGCUUGUGCCCUGGUACUCUUGGCACCCUUUCUCUUCGGUUGACUAGACUGGGGGGGUAUCGGCACUUUUGCCUCUGAUCUUGUCGAUGCGCCGGUGUUCUGAUACAAAAAGGGAAAUUUGUGAGUGCAAGUGCAAUAGAUGUAAGGGUAAGAUCAGUAUGAAAGAGUUUGAAAAUGUACCUUGAACGCGUGUGCCAAAGCAGAGGCAGCUACCGAUGGAGGUAUCUGAGUUCUCCUAGUGGUGACUUUCUUGAGGCGUAUGCCUCGAUGCAUGAUGGCGGCCAGAGUGGGGGCGUUGUUGCUGAUUGAAGAGAUCAGACCUGAUGGAAAAAGGUCAAUCGGCUUGCCACUGCGGCUGACCGAUGGGGGAACGUUAUUGUUGACGGUCCUUAAGUAUCAAAUUUAAUUAUCAAAUAAAUAAAGAAAAGGAUCCAAAUGAAAUCAACAUCUAGACUUAGGGUUUUAUCUCACAGAAUUCUAUGAGUUUUGGUGUUUGUCUAUUUCUGCAGGGGGUUAUCAGGAAAUACGAAAGAAAGGCCCACGCGUCGGGAUUACAUAGAGAUAUCAAUGUGCCGCGCAAUUAUUUUACAUCUAGAAGACUCCAGAAGCCACGAGAAGGAAGCGGAGGCCGAACGGAGCCAGGACCUGGGCGCCCGCCCUGCUACAGUGGCCAAUCACGUUCAACCUCGCGGAUUAUGCUCCACCGACCUAAAGGAUCAAGAAUAACCGUUCAAUCAAUGUCGGUUUGAUCCGACGGCCCAGGUUCACUUGAGGGGACUAUAUAACCAGACCCCCUGGCUCCUGAAGGAGGCACCCCUUGAUCAUUAUUCAUUAUUCAUAGACAGAGCAAAAGCUAGGGUUUAGAGAUGAGAGCUCUCCUCUCUUCUCUAAACUAGAGUAGAUCUAGAUAGUAGCAAGAUGGAGAGCGAAGGAGGAUUAGAGGAGAGGCCGGCCUGUCGGUUCUUCCUCCGGUUGUACUUUGUCAUGAUCAAGAUCUAAUCAAGCUUGCUCAUGGGAUGACUCUGGUAAUCUACUUCUAAUUCAUUAUGCAAUUACUAAUUAUGUAUGUUCUGGUUCACAACUCUUUUGAGUACUUUAAUCUAUAGGACGCUAUAGGUGAGAGUUGUAGUAUAGGUGUAAGCGUGGUGCUUAGACCUAGAUUACUUGUGGAUAUCCCCUGUCUAGCUGGAUCGUGUGGUAGGCCGCGUAGGUGACAGUUAUGUUGGUCCUCUAUAGUCCACCUCUCGUUAGCAGGAUGGGUAGGGUUUAUCGGCCUAAGGAUAAGCAUCCUUUGUGGUGUACUCUUAUCACGUGGUUCGUCCCAGACAUAGACACACCCCUUUGAAGUAGAGAAACCAUAGUUAUACUCUCUAUUCUGCUACCAUCGCCCAUAUACUCGAUUGCUCUAUUCUCUAUUCCCAUAUUAUCACUCACUGUUAUCUUACCUUUAAUAUUGUUCUUAUUCGAUUCUACCAUCUUUCCUAUUUACACCUAUUUACUUAUCUUGGUUAAGUUAGAGCGUAGAUCAGUUCUCCCGUUUCCCUAUGGAUACGAUAAAACCUUUAACCGGGUAAAAGGUUCAACGGUAUCCGUGCGCUUGCGGAUUAUCUGUGUGCGUAUAAAUACCAUAGUACACUCUAGUGCCAUGCUGGGGAUGACAACUUAGUAUUCAAGUGGUGUUAGCAAGUGUCAACAAGCAUUUUUGGCGCCAUUGCCGGGGAAACGGUUGCUGAGUUGACUACGAACUAGCUUAAUCAUUUUCUAAGAAAAUAAAAAAAUUUCCUUUUAUCCUUUGCCUCAUCUCUGCUAAUCUUUCUUCUUAUCUAAUCCUUGAUCUCUGGUCUAUCAUGAAUUCAAACAUGUCUAUAUAUGAAUUUCAUAGACCUACGGGCACACAUCUCGAACCACCAAAAUCUUCAAAGCCUAUCAUAGCAUCUAGUUUUGAGAUAGACCCCGAAUACAUAGAAUUUGUUCAAAAACAACCUUUCUCAGGAGAAGGUGAAGAAAACCCAUACACGCACCUAAGAGAGUUUUAUCGAGUCUGUGACCUCCUUCGCAUAGAAGGAAUGUCCGAUGAGACCCUCAAAUGGAAGCUCUUUCCGUUCUCUUUAACGGGAAAAGCUAGACAUUGGUAGAAACUCAAAGUAGAGAGUGUUCAUGGAGAUUGGAAGGAGUUACAUAAUAGUUUUCUUUUAAAAUAUUUUCCAAUCUCUAAAGUGGCGGAACUUCGGCGUGAGAUUAUUUCUUUUAGACAACUGGAAGAAGAAUCUCUUAGGAAAUCAUGGGACCGCUUUAUUAACCUUACUCUCACUGGCCCAGAGCUUUCUAUUCCAGAAGAAGUUCUUCUAAUUCACUUUUUUGAGGGCCUUAGUAGGGAAAAUAAGCAAACCUUGAAUACAGCCUCUAGAGGAUCCUUCUAUCACCUACCUGCUAGUGAAGCUUGGAAUUUGAUUGAUUUAUUAAGUGGAAAGUCUCCUAGCUUUUAUAUCCCUAAAAAAGAGACAGAACCAGUUCUUAGACAAGAAGAAGAAGUUUCGAUAGCCAGAUCACAACCACUUCAAUUCCAAACUUUAGCUAUUGAUCCUAAACCAUCAAUACCCCAAAAUUCUCCAAGGGAGGAAGGAAUUCUGACCUUAAAUCUUUCAGAUGCUGAUGGUUUAGACUUCUGGUUCCAUAAGAGACCUUCAAGCAGGGAUAAUUCAAAUCCUCGCAAUAAUGGUUCUCUUAGAGAAUGUCCUGGUUCCUAUUAUGAAGAAGUCAUGGAUGACAUAUCAAGUGAAGGAGAGCUAAGCCAUAUUGAAAAUUCUAACACCUCCCCUUUCCUGAUCACAAGUUCUAAAUGGCUAGAAUGUGUAGAAUGGAUGGAUAAGGAAGAAGCCUUAAUGAAUUCUGACUUUGGUUCAAUUUCAAAUGGUGAGUUCUUGACUCCCUUUGAAGAUGGGAUUCAUCCAACUAUAGAAGAGGACAUAAGUGAGACCAAUCCAAGAGGAACUCUGAACAUUCAGAUUGGAGACGAAGAUAACAUUAAUGAGCAUGGAAUUUAUUUCAUAGCCACUUUGUUUACUCCAUGCUCAUAUGCAACAUCUUCCCAAUCUAUUGGUCUCUUCAACAUCACCAUAUUUGAGAUCUCCAACCCUCUCUUCCUUUCUAUUUAUAAAAACUUUAAAAGGGCGGUCGUCAAUGCAUAUGUCUAUAAUAAAUAUUGUAGAUCUCGUUGAGUUGAUCUUGAUAUAGGUCAGCGUUGAAAGGGAAACCACUUCGCCGACAUAAAUUGAUGGUUUCCCAAGGACAAACUUAGUGUCUUAAAAUAAGCACUGAUCAGAUCGUAACACGAGCUUUUAAUUAUUUAUAACAUUACCUUGUGUAUUGAGCAUAUAAGGAUAAUUGUAAAAAUAUUCCUUCGGGUAUUCUUGUCACUAACCUUUACAGGAUUGGAGCAAGAAGAUCGGAUGAAUGACAAGCACAAGGUAUGUCCAACCAAUCACCAUACAACAUUAAAUUAAAUUCAUCCAAACUUGAAUUCUGCAAAAUUCAAGCUUGGGGGAGUACUUUACAUAAAAACAUCCUUUGCCAUGUUGCUAUGUUGGUUGUCCCUACCUUUAAGACAUGCUCAAUUUGUUAAAUACUAAUCACACUACUUCAUCUCCACUUGAGUAGAUCUCUAUAAAUGCUGUCAUGCUACCUUUGUCUAUUUACUAGUAAGUGUUAGUUUGGAAGUACUGCACAUACUUCUAUUGACUUUUAAAUUAAGCAUGGUGCUUAGGUUAAACAGCCUUCCUUAAUCUGAUUAGACAUGGAGUCUAGUUCGGUUAUUGAACUAAAAACUGCUUGUGUAGACAUUGGUAUAUUUUUGUUGGACUAACCCCUACAGAAAAACUUUUAAUAUCAAUUUGGGAAGUCCUGAGAUAAACUCACAUCAGAAACAAAGAGAGUGACACAUGAAGUUUAACAAUUUGCACAAGAAGGACAUAGCUCAUUCAUCAUAGAGAGAUGAUCCAUGGAUGGUGCCACAAACACGAUGCACAACCGCUAAUAAAGGAAAGCUUCCACAAGGUGAUACUGUACCAUCACUCUUCAAGCAAGGUAACAUCUUAAGGUACUUGACUAUCACUUUUAUAAGCUUCUCCUUGGUUCUGGCGUUCAUAUAAAUAAAAGAGACAAACAUGUAUGAUUUACAACUCUAGAUUAACCAACCCAACUGAUUCAACAUGUUUAGUCCUUUAAUCCUUGUUCUUAGUACUACCUCCAUGAUCCCACACUCCUAAUCAUAUGAGCUAAAAUGUUACACAUUCAAUCAUUGAGAGAUAUAAAGAAAAAGACAUAUACAUAGAUAGAUUAUCUUUCCAUAAGGUUGAGCGACCUGAUCUGACAAAUGUUAUAAGUGCUACACUCAUGAACUUUUCAUCCAUUAACUUUGUCUUGCUCACUAUGCUUAGGGUUAGAGAAGAACAAAUACACUUUAGGUUCUGUUGGUGUUUUCCACCAACAGGACCCAUGCACUUGAUCUCUGCCUUGUCUCUAUGAGCAGGUACACUUUGAGCAAAACACGGAGGAGUUUUAUAACUCUCAAACUCUACCAAGUGAAGGACCUGGAUCUACGAGCACAAACACACUGAGCAGGUUACUGCCAACGCCGCACUUCAAACUGCUGGGCAAACGAAGAACAUGGGUGACACCGUAUCAAGAGGUGCAGACGUUAAGGUCCGCACCUGAAUCAGAUGACGCACCUGAAGAAUGAACACAGUGAGAAGUCUUGUUAAGAAGACUUAAAACAUUGAACCCUCGCCGAAAGGUAAGAUCAGUAGUUAUCCAUAUUUAUCCUUUCUGCAUUCCCUUUUCCCUUUAAUUAUUUACUUUCCUUAAAUAGAUUAUUAGUUAAUCAUGCUAUCUUGAAAAGAAAAUAAAAAUGUUAAAAAAUACUAAGCUCCAUGUGAGUAUACAAGUGGCAUAAAACCCAUAAGUACCUUCAAUAUGGUGGCAUAAAAAUAAAAUAAAUAUUUCUUUUCUGCUUUAUAAAAUAAAAAUACAAAAACAGGGAGUAAUAUUUAUUGAGGAAACUCAACAUGAUGAAGGCUAGAUAUUUAUGCUAACACUUAAUUAGUUCCACUAGCUUUGUUGUCUAUUUGAGCUCCACAGAAUUUAAGAAUCAAGAAGACUAGCAGACGGAGGACAUUCUAAUCGCUGUCAGAAUGCUGCUGACUUUCAAAUACACCUCUGCCACCUGCUAGCUACAUCAAGAGAAAUUACGUCAAAGUAUUUCUACCUACAUGCACCCCCAUUUAUCUCGCUAAGUAUUUCUACCUAUCUUUAUACUUAUAUUAUAUUAGAAUAUUAAAAUACAUAAACUAUAAAAAACCAAAUAAAGAUUUUGUGCUUAUAUAUAUAUCUUUAGCUUAGUGUGUUUAAUAAAUAAAGUGGCUAUGCUAAUCUAAAUCUUAAUAAUAAAACUCUAGCAUGGAUAUGAUGAAUAGUUGCUCUGCCUAAUUUGCAAAUUUGAAGUUCUCUCUAAAGUUUAGACAUAACUGUUAUAAUUUAAAGCUUGCUCUAGAUCUAAACUUGUGGGAUGAAACUUUGAUCUGAAAUCUAAGUUGUUAACGGAUAUGAUAUGGGAAGGCUGAGCUGCUGUUUAUCUGUUCCUAGAGAUGCUAGAAUUCUGGAGAAUUUUAUCUUUGAAAAAUCUUUAAAAUAUUGCAUGACGAGUUCCUGUAUGAUGAAAUUUUAAAUUCCUACCACAGCCAUAUAUACAUGCUUGCUAGACUUUGAGCCACACAUUUAUUAUUUACUGCUUAUGAGCAUUGAGUGUGGUCAAGCUGUGUAGACCCUUAGGAGCUUGUCAUGUGGUUAAAUCAAGAUUCACUUGCACGUUCACUCAUAUAUGCUACUUCUACUCCGGAAGUACCAUCCACAUAUAUCCAUCCAUGUCCAUCUCCAGAACCACCCAAAAAUAUUCUACUCCUAAUCCGGGAGAGAAUAGCCAAAAAAUAUUUCUGUUUUCCCUUGUGAAAUAAAUGCUCAAGUUAUCUUGCUACUACCACUUGCUAUAUUAUCUCAAGAGAUGAGUGCUCUGAAAAGAAAAAAAAUAAAAGAGAAGAAAAGAAGAAAAAAAUAAACGAGGAAAUAAAAAGGGGCAAGUGCCCGGAACCUCGAAAGAAAGAAAAAGUGAGACGAGAGGUAAAAAUGGACAAGUGUCCGACAGUAGAAUUAGGGGUACAAGAUACCCACCUGAGAGGAAAGAAAAAGAAAAGCAUCUCAUUCUCCUCAUAAAGUUUCAAAAAGCAAGGAAGGUAUGUAUCCCCUCAAAAGAGCAAAAGUAGAAUUAGACUUCCACCAUUGUUAUCACCAUCAUCACCAUACACCAUUCAUUCGCCACACAUGCACAUCUUGAUUUGACUUAUUGACUUGUUUCUCUGGAUCCAUGGUUUGACUAUGCAAUAAAGGUCUUGUAAGUAUGUAUUAGCUGUCUCCCACCUAUGAGCUCCAGAUAUUAAAGCCUUAUUAGAGUAGGGUGAGAGAGAAGGCAUAUACCAUCACUGCCUUGUUAAGGAUCCAGAAAUACCACAAAAGAGAUAUUUAGAGAGUUAUACAAGGAAUCUCUGAGUCUUAUUUGAAAAUCUGCAAAAAACUCCAGAGCUAUAGCUGAUCAAGAAUAAGAGACAUGGUACUUGGCUAGACUGUUCUAUCUUUUAACUACUCAAGACAGAAGUGACUGUUACAAGUCCCAUGGUAAAAGGUAAAGUAAGUAAGUUUUAGUUCUUGACAGUUUACUCUAACUCAGAGAUGAGAUCUUAUUUAAAAGCAUGUGUGCCGUCAAAUUUUUAAAGAUAUUGCAACAACUUCUGAUCCAUCGCUGAGUCUAUCCUUGCUCAGGGACGAGCAAGAGGUAAGCUUGGGGGAGUUUGUUGACGGUCCUUAAGUAUCAAAUUUAAUUAUCAAAUAAAUAAAGAAAAGGAUCCAAAUGAAAUCAACAUCUAGACUUAGGGUUUUAUCUGACAGAAUUCCACGAGUUUUGGUGUUUGUCUAUUUCUGCAGGGGGUUAUCAGGAAAUACAGAAGAAAGGCCCACACUUCAGGAUUACAUAGAGAUAUCAACGUGCCGCACAAUUAUUUUACAUCUAGAAGACUCUAGAAGCCACGGGAAGGAAGCGGAGGCCGAACGGAGCCAGGACCUGGGCGCCCGCCCAAGUCCUUAGGGCGCCCGCCCUGCUACAGUGGCCAAUCACGUUCAACCUCGCGGAUUAUGCUCCACCGACCUAAAGGAUCAAGAAUAACCGUUCAAUCAAUGUCGGUUUGAUCCGACGGCCCAGGUUCACUUAAGGGGACUAUAUAACCAGACCCCCUGGCCCCUGGAGGAGGCACCCCUUGAUCAUUAUUCAUUAUUCAUAGACAGAGCAAAAGCUAGGGUUUAGAGAUGAGAGCUCUCCUCUCUUCUCUAAACUAGAGUAGAUCUAGAUAGUACCAAGAUGGAGAGCGAAGGAGGAUUAGAGGAGAGGCCGGCCUGUCGGUUCUUCCUCCGGUUGUACUUCGUCAUGAUCAAGCUCUAAUCAAGCUUGCUCAUGGGAUGACUCUGGUAAUCUACUUCUAAUUCAUUAUGCAAUUACUAAUUACGUAUGUUCUGGUUCACAACUCUUUUGAGUACUUUAAUCUAUAGGACGCUAUAGGUGAGAGUUGUAGUAUAGGUGUAAGCGUGGUGCUUAGACCUAGAUUACUUGUGGAUAUGCCCUGUCUAGCUGGAUCGCAUGGUAGGCCGCGUAGGUGACAGUUACGUUGGUCCUCUGUAGUCCACCUCUCGUUAGCAGGACGGGUAGGGUUUAUCGGCCUAACGAUAAGCAUCCUUUGUGGUGUACUCUUAUCACGUGGUUCGUCCCAGACAUAGACAUACCCCUUUGAAGUAGAGAAACCAUAGUUAUACUCUCUAUUCUGCUACCAUCGCCCAUAUACUAGAUUGUUCUAUUCUCUAUUCCCAUAUUAUCACUCGCUGUUAUCUUACCUUUAAUAUUGUUCUUAUUCGAUUCUACCAUCUUUCCUAUUUACACCUAUUUACUUAUCUUGGUUAAGUUAGAGCGUAGAUCAGUUCUCCCGUUUCCCUGUGGAUACGAUAAAACCUUUAACCGGGUAAAAGCUUCAACGGUAUCCGUGCGCUUGCGGAUUAUCUAUGUGCGUAUAAAUACCAUAGUACACUCUAGUGCCAUGCUGGGGAUGACAACCUAGUAUUCAAGUGGUGUUAGCAAGUGUCAACAGUUAUCAACCUGCAGUAUAAUACAGAAAGUGAGUUACCGAUGGAGAUAGAAUUGAAGGAAUUGAAACAUCGGUUUGGAAACACUUACAGUAUUAUCGGGAACUUUGUACUGGGGGUCGAUCAUGCUGCGGUACGUAAGAGCUAAUUUGCAGAACAAAUGCUCCUUCCAUUCUUCCCAGCACUGCUUAUAGGCCUGAGUAAUGAAGAGGGCUGGAACCCAUUCUGACAAAUCUGCAUCGGUAUCAGCAUUGGGGGGCAGUUGAGCUACCCUGGUCCACUCGAGAAGGCUGGUGAUGGUUUCCCUGGGUUUUAUCACAUCGGUAUAACAUAGUGCAAUCGGCAGCUGGCCGAAAGCUAGUUGACGGGCUAGUGCCGAUGGGUUGUAAAACUCAUAGGUUUGGUUGGAGGAUUUCCCACUGCCAAAGAAGUUUACUGGUAUAGCUCUGGGAGUGAUCAGUGCCAUCAUCACCUCGUGAUCCUUGUUGAGAGCAUCAUUAAACGGAUGAAAGACCAAAGGAAACAUGGUGUCUGGGUCUUCAUAAGGCAUCCAGGCUCGCUGUUCUGUUGACAGACCUUCGUGCAGGGUUUGGAAGAAUCGGCUGACCUGGUCUGCGUUGCCACCUGUGCCAGGCAGAACUAUGACAGCUUCACCAAAGUUCAGAGGAGGGCGAGUUGCCGAUUCUUCUUCAUCUAAUUCAUAAUCCUCAGCUAUGUCUCUGGGGAAGCGUUGUGUGAAGAUAUUGAAUUCAAGACGCUUGUGCAUGUGGAGGUUAAGCCACAUAUUGAUGAACCACCAGAGUCCUCCUAAGUUGCCGAUGGACUGGCCGAGCAGGAGUUUUCUGGCUACUUGGUGGAGGAGAUGGUAGGCAGUGCCAAGUAGGUAUCGGCCGAGGGGAAAUCGGCCACCAUUAGCUAAUCUCUCUGCUGCCGAUAGGUAGACUGAGGUUGGUCCUGCCGAUCGACCACAGAAUACAAAUUUAUCCAGCCACAUGUUCAAAAAGGUGGUUUGUUCGUUUAUGUUGACAGGCCCCGUUCUGCUGUACUUCUGAAUGUACCCUGACCAGCCAUCAAUAGCACGGGUUUCUACCUUGGCACUAGGUGUGGUGUCAAAUAUGUGACUGCUAUCGGCAGUGGAUACAUCUAAGCCGGUGAGCAUAAGCACAUCGGUAGGAGUGGGAGAAGCAGGGCCGUGACCAAAGAUAAAGGCAUUGAGUGUGUCUGACCAGAAAUACGACGCGGCUAUCAGCAGUGACUCAUUCCUGUGCAUAUCGACAAUGGACAGCCUGAUGCAUUGGUCCAGUUUUCGUUCUCCCCACUGAACCUCAUUUGAGUGGCUGACUCUCAAGAACCAAUCCUUCCAUCCUACGGUAGGACUGGGCCAGGAACGAAAGGUAUCCUUCCACAGAUCUAGAGAGAAGUUCUCGGCUCUAAUGGGGAUUCUGUUUGUUUCUGCAUUAAUAAGAUCGGUGGGAUCUGGAUCCCCUAACGGACCAAGACAUUGGAGGUGUGGCUGAUCGGUAGGGAUGACAAUUUUAUUGGACAUAUCCUAAUGGUUUUGAAGGUAAAAGAAGAACAAAGAAAGAAAAAGAAAAAAUGUUCAGUAAGUAAAAUGUGGAUAAACAGGGAUACGGUAAAAGCACAAGAGGAGGAAUGAAGAACUAACCUUAGGAACGUUGAAGUUGAUGGCCAUCUCCCCGCAAAAAGGAUGAUCGAUGGCUUCGAGGUUAGUGAGGAAGGGGCUUUGUUGGAGUUCUUGGAGAUCUCGAAUAGCGCCACCGCCAGGAAGGUGGAGUUGGAAAUGUGGAAUGAUGCGAUGGAGAAGGAGUACCUGAGAAGGAACUAUUUAUAGGACAAAAUGGGCAAGGGUAAACCUGACUUAUCACUUCGCCGUAUCCGUAAAAUCUGAGGAUACUCAGGAAGAUAUGGUAAUUGUUCGCACGGUAAUCAAGGGAUUGUGCAGGUGAUUUGACAGGAAGCGGUCGUGAUCUGGAGAUAUUUUACUGUGCGAGAUUUCCUGAUCAGUCCAUCGGCAGCGCUUUGUAACGGUAAUAUUGCCGAUGGACGAAUAAAGUAGAGAUAUCCGUUUGGAAGGGUAAGAUGCUUCGCUGUACGGGAUGUCCUGGUCAAUCCAUCGGCAGCUCUCUGUAACGGUAAUGUUGCCGAUGGGCUACUAAAGUGGAGAUGUCCGUUUGGGAAGUUGAGGAUUUCGAGGAAUCUGCGGGGGAAUCGAACCAAGGUUGUUCAGAUUAAGGUUGUCGGUCACCUAAUUGGGAGAAUUAAUUGCGGAAAGGCAUCAUUACUGCAGAGAAUUUUGGAGCAUUAAUGAUUUUAUACUCCGAAAUUGGGGGGCAUGUGUUGACACUGUUUUUUGGACUCGUAUCCAGAAUCGGCAGAAUGUGGAUCGGCAAGACAACGUAAUGGUCACUGGCCUACAGGAAGGUUCCCGAUGAGGGUGGUUGCCGAUGAGAAGACAUCUGAAUGUGGCUAAGUCCAUGGGUGGUGAUAUGUUUGUGCCGAUGGCCAGUAUUAACCGUUGCCGAUGAGGAGUUUGCCGAUGACGUGGAGGGAAGACUUGGAGGUUGCCAAUUGGUCCGUGGUGGUGUCUCAGCUUGUCACGGCAGGAUAGUUUUAUGUUUUCCUUAGUUAUUUAAAUGGUUUUGUACAAGGAUUAUGUUUAAAUAUGGAAUUCGAAUUCUAGUCGUGUCUGGUUGUAGCUCUUUGAGCAGGGUAUAAAUGUAGACCCUAGGGCCUUGUAAUUGGGACAAUCUAUCAAUCAAUCAAAUACAAGUUUCUACUCAUAUUCCAGCAUCUACUUUUUCGACGACUUCGUCAUAUUUUCCUUUUUCAUUACGAGUUCUUAGGAGUUCGUCGGCUUAAGCUCGGCGUAUUCUCAAGUUCUGCGUGAAUACCUCUUGGCCGUGGCAUCCGGGCGCAUCGCUGUUGUCGGGACCAAAGUAUUCGAGUUAUCACCUUUGCCGAUAGUAAGGUCAAAUCGGCUGGCACGCCUUAACGUUUAAAUCGGGUAUUAGCCCUUUGUGUUUGCAGAUCAACUUUUGCAUCAACAAGACCUUACCACUUCUCCUUCGUAGUCUGCUCAUCCAUCCUUGAUGAUUUGCCUCCUCUGGUUGCCGUUGCGUCAUCUUCUUCUUGUCCUGACCUGCUUAGAGUCUUCAACUAUAUAGUUAAGGUCAGUAAAAUAGCGGCAUACCUUGUCAGAGGAGAAGUGCACGUGGACUUCUCUGGUUCCAGUGUAGAUGAUUACUUUAACGGUGCCGAGGAACAGUCUCCCAAGGAUGAUGGGUGGAUCGUACUCGUCUUCUCCCAUGUCAAUAACCUAAAAAUCUGUAUGGACAAAAUGAUCAUCUAUUUUGACAGGGACAUCAGUUACUAUACCUUCAACCUUUCGAAACGUCUGAUCUGCCAUCUGGAGCUGAAUGUAUGUCGGUUUUAGGGGCAUGGUUCCAAACAGGAGCUGAUAGGUGAGUGCGGCCAUUAUGUUGAUGCUCGACCCGGUGUCGCAAAGUGUCUUCUGGAAGUUGUAUCCAUUAAUGGAGCACUGGAUGCUUGGCAUGCCUGGGUCAUCCUUUUUGAUCAGGAACGGUGACUUAAGUCGACGAUCUUGACCUCCUUGAUCUGUAGUGACCAUCUUAGCUGACUUGGUCCACAUUUGCUUGUUCCUGUUCCUCCUGUUGGUCCUCUUCCUUGGUUCGUGUCGGGAUUGCUCUGAGAUUUGUGUAGUCUUGUUCUUGAAGGAAAAUGUCUCCUUCCUCCCCUUGAUGUAGAAACUGAUCUUGGCAGCACUAGCGUAGAUGAUAGCUCCUGAGGUGUUCAGGAAUGGCCUCCCUAAGAUGACGGGUGCCCUCUCAUGAGAACCGGUCUCUAUCACCACAAAGUCUGCUGCGGCGUACAAGGUACCAACUCGGACGCAGAGGUUCUUCGAUAUUCACUUUGGGAAACUUAACGUACGAUCUGCAAGCUGCAAACACAUGGCUGUUUCUAAUAAAGGAUAUGUAAAGAAUUUUUCAUAGAGUACCCUGGGCAUAAUGUUGACGCUGGAGCCAAAGUCGCAGAGUGCUUCUGGGAAGUUCACCAUGCCGAUGGAGAUCGGGAUGACGGUGCGUCCUGGAUCGCCUCUCUUGACCGGCAGAAGGUCAAUAAUUACUUCCACAAUGGGGUUACUCCAGUAGUUACGUCCUCAAGCAUUUUAGGGCAGUGAUUGCCUGAGUGUCCAGUAUCUCCAUUGUGUUGGUGCUCGUAGAUCUAGGUUCUUCACAUGGUGGAGUCUAGGAGUUGUAAAAGUCCUUCAUAUUUUGCUCGAAGUGUACCUGCUCAUAGAGACAAGGCAGAGAUCAAGUGCAUGGGCCCUGUUGGUGGAAAACACCAACAAAACCAAAAUGUAUUUGUUCUUCUCUACCCUUAAUCAUAGUGAGCAAGACAAAGUUGAUGGAUAAUAAGAUCAUUGUUGACACUAGCUAACACCACUUAGAUACUAGGUUGUCAUCCACAGCAUGGUGCCAUAGUGUACAAAGGUAUUUAUAAAUGUAAAGGCUCUCUAGAAAAUAAUGUAUUCUAUCCACAAGCGCACAGAUAAAACACCUCAUUGUAGCAUUUCACUAGGAUAAGUAUUCUAGGUAUCGUUAUUUAUAAUUAUGCUAAAGAGAACAAGGGGUAAAAUUAAGAUAAAAUCUAUCAAGGCAUAGACUAGAGAUAAACUUGCAAGAACAUGAUUACUAAUGAGAAACUCGUCACACAGUCACUUACUUUGGCAGGGGGUAAACCAUUAAGGUAAUGAUAAUGAAUUAUAAGUUCAAGGUUAAAUAACACAACGAUUAGAAAAUAGACUACUCCUCAUAUAUAUAGGUGACGUCGGAUUAGCUAAAGAAUGGAUUCUAAGUUAUCUACUAUCUACUAAGUCACAAUCUACUCUAGUUAUCUAGAAGAUCAUAUAUAGAAUAAAAGACUCUUCAUUCAUGUAUAAGGAACAUUGCUAAAGUAAAUCAGAGCAUCGCAAGACUUACUCCGCAAUACCAAUUCUGCCUGUCCUAUCGACGGAGGAUGGACUAUAUAAGAAUCAAUGAAGCUGUCACUAUCUCGAAAUACCACACGACCCGGCCAAUAGGAUACAUUUGCAGGUAAAUAACAUCUAAGCACCACGCCCACUUGUGAUCUACCACUUAACUCCCUCGCGUCAAGAGCUAAGCGCUUUGCAAACUUAUACAUAAACUCAUUAUCAAUCAUAACUAUAUCAAAUAUACAACUAGAGCAAACUAAGAGCAUAAUAAAUAGAGACGUAAUGUAUUUAGAACAAAGUGUUAGAGAAAGAUAUGAACAAUACCAAUCUUUAUUACCGAAUAUCCGAAUCCUGAGCGUAGUGCUCUACUUCUCUAAUUGCUAUCUAGUCAAACCUCUAAACUUGAAGGAUUAGGGAGUAGCUAAUUCUAUUUCUCUAUGGGAGAGAAGCUCUAAACCCUAACUUUGAUGGCUACCUCUGAUAAUGAUUUCUCCUCUUCUCUUCUCUCCUCCAGGGGUGGAGAGGCAUUGGUUAUAUAGUCCUUUCAAGUGAAUUUGGGCCGUCGGAUCAAACCGACCUUGAUUGCAUGGUUUAGAUUCAUCCUCAAAGGAGGUAGAACCCGAUCCAAGAGUUUGGUUCGGAUUGGACUCCCUGCCCCCAAGGGGGGAGAGCGGGCACCCUGCCCCCAAGCCCGAUCGGUCUCCCGUUCGUUCCCGUGGCUUCUGGACUCUUCUAGAUUCAGGAAAAUUGCGCGGCACGUAAUUAUCUCAUUGUAAACAUGACAUGUGGGCCUUCUCUCCAUAUUUUCUGAUAACCCCCUGCAGAAAUAGAUAAACACCAAAGCUCGUGGAAUUUUGUCAGAUAAAAUCCUAAUUCUAGAGGUUUGGUGUAUAUUGAUCCUUUUCCAUGUUUAGUUGAUUGUUAAAUUAAGUACUUAAGGACCAUCAACAAACUCCCCCAAGCUUACCCUUUGCUCGUCCCUGAGCAAACAGCUAGACUGAGAUGGAUCAGGAGUUGCUUUGAUGUUUUCUUUCCUGACAGGCACACAUGCUUUCAUAUAAAAAUUCUUCCAGAUUAGAGUGAAGGGUUAAGGGGCUUAGUACCUGCACUUAAGUCUUAAGUAAUCGAAAGGCAAAAUAAUUAAGUCAAGCACUAUUCCUCCUGUCUAUACUUCACCUUUUGUUCUGGAGUUUUUCAUAAGUUUUCAAAAUAAAACUCAGAGUUCCCAGCAAUGAUCUCUCAAGUCUCUCUAUAUGUGGUAUUUGUGGAUCCUUACCAAAAUGUCACUUACCUAUAGCUAAUGGAAUAUUUAAGUGGAGCUCAUAGGUGUGAAAAACAGCUCAUACAUAUGUUGUCUAGUCGAGCCAUGGAUCCAAAGGAACUCAGCAUAUAAUUAAAUCAAGAUGUGCAUGUGUGGUGGAGUAAAUAAUAUUGAUGGUAAAAACGUAUAAGUGAUAAUAAAACUUACUUCUCAUUGCUCCUCAUAUUGCUACCUCUCCUCUUCUUUGAUCUUUGCUUUGGGAGAACAUGGGCUAUCUCUCUUUUUUUCAGGUGGGUAGUAGAUACCCCUAAUUCUACUGUCGGACAUUUGUCCAUUUUUUUCCGCUCAAGUGGGCAUCUUUGUACCCCUAAUUCUACUCCGGACACUUGUCCAUUUUUACCUCUCAUCUCACUCUUUUUCUUUUUUUCGAGGUUUCGGGCACUUGUCCCUUUUUAUUUGCUCGCAUAUUUUUGCAUAACCCAUGCCUCCUCUGCAUUGAAUCUUUUUAGAGAGAGAGAGAAUAACAAUACUUGGGACAGUGAGUGAUAAUAUUUUUAGCAAUUUUAAUGUAUGGUGGCGAAUGGUGUAGUGGAUGUGUGCAAGUGAACGUCUUAAUUUAACCACAUGAAAACCUACUAAGGGUUCACACAGCUCGAUCAAACUCAAUGUAAAUACAAGUAAAAGAUGUUAUAGCAAGUAUGGCUGUGGUAGGUAGUUUGUAAUGUUAGGAACUCAUCAUGUUACUUGUAAGUUUUCAAAAUAAAUCUCCAGAACUUAGUGUAGUAGGAACAAGAUAAACAGUAGCUCAAACUUUAUAUCAUGCCUUUCUCUUACCUAGACUUUAGUUUUAUGCUUUCCAAAGAUAGUAAUUUCAGUUUUAGUAAUUCCUAGAAGAACUUUAAUAUAAAAGCUAGGUACUUGAAAGUAUGCAAACAGAGCAACUAUUCAUCAUUCUCAUCAUGGAUCUUUUUGGUCUUUUAUUUUUCUAGAGAUUAACACUUAGCAGAUAAAUAAAGCACACUUAUCUACACACUCUUUUUAUUUUGUUUUCAUAUUUAUAAAAUGCAGUAAAUUAAAGCAAGAAAAUAUUUAUUGGGUUUUCUAAGUUUUUCUCUUUAAGAUAAAUAAAACACUAAAAUAGAAAAGAAUAAAUAAGAAGAACAAAUUAAAACUUACUUGAUAAAUUGGGGAGGAACUCCCCGAAGCUGGAUGUGGAUGUCGGUCUUACUCGAUGUUCCAGAAUCGCAUCAUGGUGGUGAUGUUGUUGUUCAUUGUUGUGGUAUCUUGUCUCAGCUCUUGUACUGCAGUGGUGUGGUCCUGGUUCCAUUUUUGUUGCUCUUCUAGGAGUCGUCCAUGUUCUGCUUGCGUAUUCUGGAUGUCGAGAAGGGUGUUGUCGGUGCGGUUGAAGAAAGCGUUGGCCUCUUGGUAGUAGUCAUUCGUGAAAACGUAGGAGGCGUCGGAGUAUCGUCCUGCAUCGAGUUGGGGCGGAGGUGUGGAUCCUGAAGCUCCAUAAGGAUCAGUGGAGUACCUGCCCGUAUGGAAAUGCGGGUUUGUCCACUGGUGAUCUUGGCCCUCCGGCCAUGUCUCCUAUGAUGGCUCUUGUGGUUGCGCAUAUCGAACCCAUGGGUCUCGAAGGACUCGGGGGUUGUAGUCAUGAUAAUGCAGGUGCACUGCUUCUUUCAGUACAGGAUCAGCUCCAUACCAGGUGUGUUCUUGAUGGGUGGUCAUCCUUUCAGAUGCCACUCGUUGUGGAGCUCUCUGGUUCACCGGUGUCACUGCAAUCUCAAUCAAAAAAUUUUGAACAACGUAGAGGCCAAGGUUCGGGUUAGGUAACCGAAUCUUGCCUUUAUUAUCAUAUAGCAUAUACAUUAUGUUCCCCUCUUUCUUUAACAUCUGAGCUUGUCUAAAUGUGUCAUAGCCAUGAUAAAUUCUUAACUCAUCUAUGAAGUCCAAUGACGAGUUUUCUAGUAAAUGAAGAUUAGAGGCUAGACGAGUGAUAAGUGAAGUACAUCCUACUGGUCCCUGAAGACUAGGUAUACUAAGCCAAUGAGAAACCAAAAGUGUAACAGGUGAUGUUGGUACUUUAUUAAUAGCAGCAUAUAAAAGUUGUAAAUCUCCUACUCUUACUUUCCUAAUGUCAUCAUGAUAGAAAAUAUUGUACCCAAGCCAUUUGUGGAACAUCCUAAGAGUGGGGUGUUCCAUGUCACUGCUCUGGGCUUGACUAUAAAAAUUAUCCCUAGAUAUCUCUCUCCAGAACUGGUGUCUCUUAAAAUUGGGUAAGUCAGAGUCAAUGUUCAGGAUGCAUCUUGAAGAGAAACCAAGAUGGUCGCUCAGUUCUCUCCAAGACAACAUAAUCUCCUGUUUGAACAUCCAAAAAACAAUUCCCCCCUCAUAAUAUUGUAAAGUGCAAAGAAAUUCAAGGGUGAGAAGACGAGAACCUAGCUCAGUUAUGUUCCAAAAAUUUGUCCAACCUAACAUCUGGAAAAUUAUGUCGAAUUCAGUGUCCAUACCUGUUUCUUGUAGCAGGAUGGGAUCAAGAGUAGGGGUGUGAAUGAAAUCUUUGUUCUUCAGCUGCUGGUAGAAUUCCUUCUCCCUGCGGGUCUUUAGUCCAAGGUCUCCUAUCUUGAGGAGGACCUUGACUUGCUGAUCAGAUGAAGAUGACGGAGCUUGAGUGGGCGUCGCGUUGACGCUCAUCUCUGACGGGUGUGAGGAGUGUCGGGAUGAACUCCUUGUUCCUAUGUUCUUGAGGGCCUUCCCUGAGUUCUUCACCUUCUUGAACAUCCUGUAAACAAAAGUUGGCAAAAACACAACUAGUGGAAAAUGUGAGAAAAUGUUAGUGGUCAGCUGUUCGGAAUGUCAGUAGUCUAUGGUUUAGUCGUUCAAGACAAGUUUUUAUUUUGGCAGAACCUCCCCCUAAACAACUUUUACUUUCGCUUGGACAGUGGGAUCACUACUUACUAGGUGAAGUUCACUCUCUCACUCAGAAACUACCAACUUCUUUCCCACUCUUCUCUUCCUCUCUACUCUCUUCUCGCUUCACUACAAGAGCUCUUUCUCUGGAAACUGAAACUUGCGUGGUUUUCUGGAAUGCUUGUGUGAAGAAGAUGGAGGCAGGAGGUGGCAAUUUAUAGGAGGAAGAGGGGGUAGGGUGGGCGCCCACUAUAGGUGGGUGGGCGCCCACUUGUGGUGCCCAUCCUGGCUGCCGUUUCUCCACUCCUUCCUUUGCUUAACUCUUACGCAAAAUAAUGGAUCAUGGGUGGUGGUUGGCCGGUGCAAAAGUGCUGGUGAGUGGAGACAUGUUGGUGGAUGAAAUAAUGUGAUGGGAUGUGUGUGAGGUGUGGUGUAUGACAUGUGGGACCCAAGGAGUGUGGGUCAUGCUUCUAGAAGGUUGCUAUAAUUAAAUACAAUGCAGGAAAAUCUAUGAGAAUUAAAACUUAUUGAAAUGAUAAUGGAAAAUAUUUUUGUGCCUCCAUAAUAAUUAAUAAAAUAUGGGUUGUUGCACACCAUAAAUAUUAUUUAUAUGGGGCUUUUUAUUAUUAUAAUAAUGCUAUGAAUAAAUAUGACUAAUGCAAGAAUUAAUUAUGCAAGAAUUUAAACAAUGUGGAUAAAUACCGAUUUACCUCCCGGCAAGGGUUUGGGAUUUCUAGGUCCCCCAAGCUGGACCUCCAAAUCUUUUAAUCUUCUUAAUUACCUUCUUCCAGAGAUGGUGUCUCCAGUGGUUCUUCUUCAUGAACUUCCUUCACUGUAGGGUCUCUCUCUGGUAUGGUCUUGAAUGUGAAGUGUUCUUCUUUUCCGUUGAUGUUGAACUUGAUUUCUCCCUUCCCGACAUCAAUGUGGGCAUUGGCAGUGCUCAGAAAUGGCCUUCCAAGGAUAAUGGAUACUUUUGAGUCAAGAUUCAUGUCCAGUACCACGAAGUCUACUGGCACCAGGAAAUCUCUGAUCUUGACUGGAAUGUUUUCAGUGAUGCCCAACGGGUGUCGAACUGAUUGAUCUGCUAGUUGUAGGCACAUUGAUGUUGGUUCUAGGGUCGCAUGCUCAAGCUAUUCAUAGACUGAUGCUGGCAUCACACUGACACUUGCUCCGAGAUCACAAAGUGCAUUGUUGAACUGUUGGUUUCCGAUCGAGCAAUCAAUAGUGGGGCAUCCGGGAUCUUUCUUCUUUCUUGGUGGUUUAUUAAGGAUGGCCGCACUACAUUCUUCUGUCAGCUUGAUAACCUCAGUGGUGGGCAGUGGUCUCUUCUUGUUAAGAAUAUCUCCGAUGUACUUUGCAUAUGUAGGUACCUGUAUGGCAUCAAGCAGAGGUGUGUUGACAUAUAAUUUCUGAAUGACCUCUACAAACUUACCAAACUGCUCAACCGACUGCAGUCCUCUGUUUCUUCUAGGAAAUGACAAAUAGUUGGUGUCCUAAAAAUCUUUCCUCAUUUCUCUAGUUCUUGGUGUUUGUAGCAGAUCUUCUGCUUCAACUGGGCUUUCUACUUCUAUCACAGCUGGUUGCACUGGUGCUGAUGUUCUUUGUUUCUCUUUUGGGUAUGGGGGAUCCCUGGUGGCUUUGCCUCCUCUAGUAGUUAUGUUCUUUACCUACUCAAUGUUAGUGGCAACAAGCAGUGCAGCAGCUAACUUUAUUAAUUUAAGCUCUACCCUCUUAUUAAGAGUGUUUUGCUCAUCAAAGGCAGUUAAUAGAAAAUCAUUUUAUUGUGUAUAUCUUUUAAAGAUGAUUCAUUUGUGUCUAGCCUUUGUUUAAGUUCAUCAUUAAUUUUGGUUUGUUGAGCAAUUAUCUCUUUUAAUGAAAGUUGCUUGAAAGUAUUACUUGAAUUCAUACCUUUGCUAUUGGGUUGACUCGAAGUGGUUUGAUAUUUGUAUGCUGUCUCAAUGGCCCUUUGAUCUUCUUUGAACUUGGCCCUCUCGUCAAUCCAAUGGAGCAAAUUUUCCAUCUUGGUUGAUAAUGCAUUUACUUCUUUUGGUAUUUAUUCAGUUUGAUGACAUUGUUGAGCUUCAUCUUGGAACUAGCUUUGGUUUUCUACUAUCUUAUCCAAAAGUAUCUCUGCUUUUCCAAUUGUAAGCUCCAAGAAUGAUCCUUUAGUAGAUGCAUCUAGGCACUCAUGAGCCUUUUGGGUUAAUCAAUGGUAGAAGGUCUGCAUAAGUAACCAUGUGGCCAUUCCAUGGUGAGGACAAUUUGAUAUAUAUCCUUGAAAACGCUCCCGUGCUUCUGACAAUAUUUCCUCUUAAGGCAGUUGUUUUGCCUAUAGGGAAAAACUUUGAUAGAAAGGCAUCUGACAAGUUCGUCCAGUUGUUGAUGUUAUAUUGAUGAGUGUAGAAUCACUUCCUCCCUUUCCCUUCUAGUGAGAAUGGAAAAAGGCGAAGCAGUAUGACGUCUUUCUCAACUCCGUUGAUGUGGAUUAUGCUUCCAAUUUCUAAGAAAUUCUGCAAGUGUGCACUAGCAUCUUCAUGUGUCUUUCCACUGAAUUGUGUAGCUUGCACCAAAUUGAUGAGGCUUGACUUGAGCUCGAGCUCGGGUACUCCUUCUACUGCAAAUCUUAGAGCAGUUGGAAUGUUCUCAAGACUUGGAGCAGAGAAUUCUUGUAGGGUCUUCUGUGCCAUAGCUUCAGCAAUUGGUAGCUAGCUUCUUCUUUCUUUCUUGAUUGCUUUGGUUCUGAUGAUGAAGAGUUGAAUGUACCCAAAGUCAAUCCUGAUAUACCCUGUAUAAAAAUAUAAACAUAGAAAAACAACAUGGUGAACCUGCCAAAGCAAAGGUGCCUUGUUAUGAUUUCUCACUUAGUUGCUGUUUUUAUGCAAUUAUUUCUCUAUAGUCUAGUCUAAUAUUUUAUGUGAAUAACCUUAACUGAUUUCCUAACUUUCCUUACCGUUCCUAUGUGUUACCCUUUUUCUCCCCGGCAACGGCGCCAGAAAUGCUUGUUGACACUAGCUAACACCACUUAGAUACUAGGUUGUCAUCCCCAGCAUUGUGCCAGAGUGUACAAAGGUAUUUAUAAAUAUAAAGGUUCUCUAGAAAAUAAUCUAUUCUAUCCGCAAGUGCACAGAUAAAACACCUCAUUGUAGCAUUUCACCAGGAUAAGUAUUCCAGGUAUCGUUAUUUAUAAUUUUGCUUAAGAGAAGAAGGGGUAAAAUUAAGAUAAAAUCUAUCAAGGCAUAGACUAGAGAUAAACUUGCAAGAACAUGAUUACUAAUGAGAAACUCGUCACACAGUCACUUACUUUGGCAGGGGGUAAACCAUAAAGAUAAUGAUAAUGCAUUAUAAGUUCAAUGGUAAAUAACGCAACGAUUAGAAAAUAGACUACUCCUCAUAUAUGUAGGUGACGUCGGAUUAGCUAGAGAAUGGAUUCUAAGUUAUCUACUAUCUACUAAGUCACAAUCUACUCUAGUUAUCUACAAGAUCAUAUAUAGCAUAAAAGACUCUUCAUUCAUGUAUAAGGAACAUUGCUAAAGUAAAUCAGAGCAUCGCAAGACUUACUCCGCAAUACCAAUUCUGCCUGUCCUAUCGACGGAGGGUGGACUAUAUAAGAAUCAACGAAGCUGUCACUAUCGCGAACUACCACACGACCCGGCCAAUAGGAUACAUUUGCAGGUAAAUAACAUCUAAGCACUAUGCCCACAUGUGAUCUACCACUUAACUCCCUCGCGUCAAGAGCUAAGCGCUUUGCAAACUAAUACAUAAACUCAUUAUCAAUCAUAACUAUAUCAAAUAUAGAACUAGAGCAAACUAAGAGCAUAAUAAAUAGAGACAUAAUGUAAUUACAACAAAGUAUUAGAGAAAGAUAUGAACAAUACCAAUCUUUAUUACCGAAGAUCCGAAUCCAGAGCGUAGUGCUCUACUUCUCUAAUUGCUAUCUAAUCAAACCUCUAAACUUGAAGGAUUAGGGAGUAGCUAAUUCUAAUUCUCUGUGGGAGAGAAGCUCUAAACCCUAACUUUGAUGGCUACCUCUGAUAAUGAUUUCUCCUCUUCUCUUCUCUCCUCCAGGGGUGGAGAGGCCUUGGUUAUAUAGUCCUUUCAAGUGAAUUUGGGCCGUCGGAUCAAACCGACCUUGAUUGCAUGGUUUAGAUUCAUCCUCAAAGGUGGUGGAACACGAUCCAAGAGUUUGGUUCGGAUUGGACUCCUGGCCAGGGCGGGCGCCCAAGGUUGGAGGGCAGGCGCCCUGCCUCCGAGCCCGAUCGGUCUCCCGUUCGUUCCCGUGGCUUCUGGACUCUUCUAGAUUGAGGAAAAUUGCGCGGCACGCAAUUAACUCGUUGUAAAGAUGACAUGUGGGCCUUCUCUCCAUAUUUUCUGAUAACCCCCUGCAGAAAUAGAUAAACACCAAAGCUCAUGGAAUUUUGUCAGAUAAAACCCUAAUUCUAAAUGUUUGGUGCAUAUUGAUCCUUUUCCAUGUUCAGAUAAGAUCGCUCAACCUAAUGGAAAGAUAAUCUAUCUAUACUUAUGUUUUUUAUAUAUUUUCCAAAGAUUGCGUGUGCAACAUUUUAUCUCAUAUGAUUAGGAGUGUGGGAUCACAAAGGUGGAUGGACUAAACAUGUUGAAUCGAUUGGGUUGGUUAAUCUAGAGUUGUAAAUCAUACAUGUUUGUCUCUUUUAUUCAUGUGAACGCCACAACCAAGAAGAAGCUUAUAAAAAGAAAUGAUAGUCAAGUACCUUAAAAUGUUACCUUACUUUGAAGAGUGAUGGUACAGUAUGACCUUGUGGAAGCUUUCCUUUCUUAGCGGUUGUGCAUCGUGUUUGUGGCACCCUCCAUGGAUCAUCUCUUGUGAGCUAUGCCUUCCUUGUGUAAAUUGUUAACCUUCAUGUGUCUCUCUCUUUGUCUCCAAUGUGAGUUUAUCUCAGGACUUCCCAUGUCGAUAUUGAAAGUUUUCCUGCAGGGGUUAGUCUAACAAAAUAUCCCAUAUCUACUAUAGCAUACUAUCGGCUCAAAAAUCAACCUAGACACCAUGUCUAAUUUGAUUUAGGAGGGCAUUUUAACCUAAGCACCAUGCUUAAUUUAAAAUCCUUUGAAGUAAGAUCAUCAUUCCUAAACUAAGCACCAUGCUUAAUUAAGAGAUAAAUGAAACUACUCCAAACCUAGACAUAUACUAAAGCAAAUAAAGGUAGCAUGGGAGCAUUUAUCGAAAUCUACUCAAAUGGAGGUGAUGUCGUGUGAUUAGUAUUUAACAAAUUGAGCAUGUCCCAAAGGUAGGGAUAACCAACAUAGCAACAUGGCAAAGGAUGUUUUUAUGUAAAGUACCACCCCAAUCUUGAAUUUUGCAAAACUCAAGUUUGGAUGAAUUUAAUUCAAUGUUGUAUGAUGAUUGGUUGGACAUACCUUGUGCUUGUCAUUCAUCCGAUCUUCUUGCUCCAAUCCUGGAAAGGUUAGUGACAAGAAUACCCGAAGGAUUUUUUUUACAAUUAUCCUUAUAUGCUCAAAACACAAGGUAAUGAUGCAAAUAAUUAAAAGCUCAUGUUACGAUCUGAUUAGUGCUUAUUUUAGGACACUAAGCUUGUCCUUGGGAAACCAUCAAUUUAUGUCGGCGAAGUGGUUUCCCCUCCAACGCUGACCUAUAUCAAGAUCAACUCAACGAGAUCUGCAAUAUUUAUUGUAGACAUAUGCAUCGACAACCGCCCUUUUAAAGUUUUUAUAAAUAGAAAAGAAGUGGGUGUUGGAGAUCUCGAAUGUGGUGAUGUUGGAGAGACCAAUAGAUUGGGAAGAUGUUGCAUAUGAGCAUGGAGUAAACGAAGUGGCUAUGAAAUAAAUUCCAUGCUCAUUAAUGCUUGGAGUGAAAUCCAUGUGGUGUGGUGAAAAUGGUAAGGUGAGUGUGAUAAAAAAGGAAAAGAAAAAGGAUACACGGACGACUUGGUUCGAAACUAGCACAGCUACCGUUCCCCGGCAACGGCGCUAGAAAGCUUGUUGGGUAUUUUAAAUGCAAACAGAAAAAUCCACAAGCGCACAGAUACCGAUGUAGCCUUCACCCGGGAGUAUUCCAGAGUAUCGAUUUUCCACAGGAAACGUGAGUGUACUAAUUAAGAUUCAAGAUCGCCUAAGGAUAACUAUAUAAUUAGUUUUGGUGGGAAGAGAGGAAGUUUCCUGAGAGUUCUCUAGUUGAUCUAAGAAUCAAGAAUUACUUCAAAGACUAUUUAUUUCGAGAUAUCAAAACACUAACCACAGAAAGAGAUGAGAAGGGGGCUAGGAAGCUCUGACUAUGGUCCUACAAACACCGAUCCGAACGAGGUGGAAUACGUCGACCGUUAGGGCUGUCACUACCCUAGGGCUACCACAACAAUCCGCAGGAUUGGGUGCAAUUCCAGGUAAUUGCAAUACUAAACACCACGUCUAAUCUAUUAAUUAAUACUCUAGCAUUAUAAAGACUAGACCACUUGAUGCAAGCGGGAAUUCAAUAAAUAACUUGAAUGUAAAUAAAAGUAAUUAAAGAACUCAGUAAUUAUGAAUUGAAGAACUUGGAGAACGAUGAAGAACGAACCAGUUGCUGCAAAAGUACAAUGUUGAGGAAGAUCCGACAGAUCCGGCUCCUCCUCCGCUCUCCUCUUCUCUCUCCCUAUUUUCUAGAUUACAAUUAGAACUAACAAGAACUAGAACUAGAGGAACUAGAACUAGAUGAACUAGAGGGGUCCUCUCUACUUGGAUGAAGAAUGAAACCCUAGCUUUGAUUCUGUAGAAGAGGUAUGUUCUCCAGGGGCCAGGGGGCCUUGCUUAUAUAGUCUUUUCAGAUGAAUCUGGGUCGUUGGAUCAAACCGACUUUGAUUGAACGAUUAUCCUUGAUCCUUUAGGUCGGUGGAGCAUGAUCCCUGAAGAGGACUCUGAUUGGGCAAAGAAGGUGGGCGGGCGCCUUGGUCUCUAGGGCGGGCGCCCAGGGCCAGGCCCCAUUCUGCCUCCGCUUCGUUCCCAUGGCUUCUGGAGUCUUCUAGAUGAUAGAAAAUUGCGCGGCACUUUAAUAUCUCUAUGUAAACCCGACGUGUGGGCCUUCUCCAUAUUUCCUGAUAACUGCCUGUAGAAAUAGACAAACACCAAAACUCGUGGAAUUCUGUCAGAUAAAACCCUAAGUCUGGGUGUUAGUUGCAUUUGGAUCCUUUUCCAUGAUUAGUUGACGGUUAAAUGUGAGCAUUAAGGACCAUCAACACCCAUGUCUAUCCAAAAAACCCACCAGAUGGAUUGUUACGCAAGUUUGGCGGUGGGAUUAACCCAUGGAAAACCCCAGGGGCACUUUUUGACCCCUAUAUAAAGAAACUCCUGACCUCAACUUUCAACACCAAUUCAUUCAAUCAUUCUUUCCUUCCUCAGUUAGAGCUUGCUUAGUCCCUCGCUGCUCCAAUGGCCGAUGAGUUCAACCCCGACUGGGAGAUCGUUCCCUACGACCUCAACAAGAAGCCAAAGGAAGAUCCCGAUGCCUACGCUCUCGUCCCAGCCAACAUAGAGCGACAGCUUGCAGCCAUGCCAUCAUGCCAGUGUAGCUCCACCCAAUCCUACUACGCCCAACCAGUUCUCACCGUGCCGCCACGGCCCCUCCUUCUCAAGGGGCCAUCAGCCAAGCAGGAGGCGAUCGUCAAGGUGCCAGCCGACAUGAGGAUCCUACCGCCCAGACCCAAUGAGCAUGUUGUAGGCGUCAAGACCAACCAGAGCGGCGAGAUCAGCAGCAUCCGCUACACCAUGGAGGAGGAGAGGCCCUACUUCGAGGGGGUUAGAGCAUCGAAGGUUUGCUUCAUCCCACCAAAGGAAGCCCCAAAGCACGCCCUCAACUCCUUCGAGACACCUCCUAAACGCCGCAAGACUAUAGCCGAUUUAGAUCAGGAAGUCCGGGGGCAGACAAGCUGCUUAUGGAGCUCCAGUCCACGGUUAACUUCCUUAAUAGGCAGAUCACUAACUUGAACACUACUGUGCACGGUCGUAGAUGUGACCUUUCCAGUGCUACUAAUAGGAUUAGGGAGUUAGAGCGCCGCUGAGCUAUCUAGAUUAGAUCUUAAGGCUUGUAUCUUAGUUAUUCAUCGAUUAGAUUCAGUUUAGAUUCAUUAUUAGAUUCAGUUCGUUGUUCAUUAGUCGGUUGUAAUAAAUGCCUCAAGAUAUAAGAUCAUUAUUAUUAUGCCUUGUGUGUCUCCACUUUAUUUUUAUGCAAGAAAAUAGGAAACAAGUAUGGGGGAGAUCCCCCGAGAUGCCAAACGAACUUCGACCGCACCACUCCACGAUUCAGGUACAUACUCUGCACACUUUAUUUACACACAUACACAUAUCUUGGUCCGUGUAGCAUAUUGUCUCUAACAUGAUAAAUUAAAAAGAUAAAAAUAUUUCUAAUCAUGAUUAAUCUCACUCUGUGAUAUUUCCUAAAAACCUGCAAUUAUUGAAAAAUCAUUUCAAAACCCUGUGCUGCUCAAGUCACUAUGGAAUGUGAGAUGGUAGAGUAUGAAUACCUUAUUCUUGAUAUCUUUGUCGCUGGGAGAUUUUAUUUUGAAAACUUCAAAUAUGUAGCUACCAUCCUCAGUGUUUCAUAUGUCUGCUAAACCUGAAAAUAAUAGUUAUGAUAAUAAAACCUAUCUGCUUUGUAUUGAGUUUGUUCAAAACGAGUUAGACCCUUGUUGAGAGAUUUAUCAUGCUCCUAAGAUCAAGACAUUUUUAUUCAGAAAUAUUCACUCUUCCGAAGUAUUAUUGCGUUAGAGGCAUGGGCUGUGCAAAAAUAUGAAUUUCGAGGAAAUAAAAAGGAGCAAGUGCUCGACAACCUUGUUGAUAUUUGGUAACGCAAUUAGAAAAUGAUCCGCAAGCGCACGGAUAUCGGUGAGCAUUUCACCCGGGAGGUUAUCCAGAGUUAUCGUAUUUAUAUUUUUACCACUGGGAGAAAGGGUGCAUCUGACUAACCAAAUCUAUUGCUACUAUCCCUUUAGGCUACAAAGAAUGUCUCUCGAUAUGAGUGAUGUAUAGAGAAGACUGCAACCGUAGUCUCAUUCUAACCUUGGUAAGGAUGAUCUACUGUUCUAUUGGGGAGGCUCACGGAAUCUAGACAACACAAAGGAUGUUCGACCCGCACCUAUAAACCUAUCCGUCCUGCUAACGAGAUGUGAUCUGCAAAGGUAACUCGGAAAUGUCACGUUCCUCGCUACUACCACGGUCUAGCUAGUCAGGGGAUAUCUAUGAGUACCCUAGCCUAAACACCACGUUUACGCUAACAAGUGAUUACUCUAAUACUCAACCGGAAGAGGAUUAAAGUAAACUCAUAAACCAAAGAACAAUAAAACAAUAACUUACUAGUAUUAGAAGUCGAAUUACUGAAGAAUCUUAGAAGCAAGCCUCGGGUUAGGAGACUUGAUCCCGUAGGUACAACUCGGAGUAGACACCGACAGGCUGGCCUUCCUCCGAUCCACACCUCCACUCUAUCUCUCUCAAUCUAGUAGAAACUAGAAGAUCUAUUUCUACUUUACAUUGGUUGCUAAGCCUAAAAAGAAAUAUUAUUUAGAGAAGAGGUUUUCCUUCGAGGGCACCCCUCAAUCUCUAAGAUAAUUUCUUGUCUCCUCCAGGGCCAGAGGGGGUCUCCUUAUAUAGUCCUCCCCUUCUAUGCGUUUUUGGGUCGAUAGGCGAGGUCGUACUAUGUUAUUCUGGAUCCAAUAGGUCGGUGGAACGUCGUGUGCGAAGAGAGUCCGGAACGGAGUCUAGAGGGGGGCGGGCGCCCAGGUCCUCAGGGCGGGCGCCCUGGGCCUGGCCCCUUUCGGGCUCCGCUUCCUUCCCGUGGCUUCUGGAGUCUUCUAGAUGGUAGAAAAUUGCGCGGUGGGUUGAUAUCUCUAUGUAAUCCUGACAUGUGGGCCUUUCUUCCUUAUUUCCUGAUAACCCCCUGCAGAAAUAGACAAACACCAAAACUCGUGGAAUUCUGUCAGAUAAAACCCUAAGUCUAGAUGUUGAUUUCAUUUGGAUCCUUUUCUUUGUUUAUUUGAUAAUUAAAUUUGAUACUUAAGGACCGUCAACAAACUCCCCCAAGCUUACCUCUUGCUCGUCCCUGAGCAAGGAUGAACUCAAGAGUUUCUGCAGUGGUUUCAUUUCUUAGAAGUACACACGCAUUUAAGCAAGAUCUCAUCUCUGAGUUAGAAUAAACUGUUAAGACUUAAAACUUACUUACUUUACCUACACCAUUGGACUUGUAACCGUCACUUCUGUCUUGAGUGGUUAAAAUAUAGAACAGUCUAGCCAAGUGCCAUGUCUCUUAUUCCUGUAUGAUUCUCUCAGGUCUCUCUUUUGUGGUAUUUUUGGAUCCUUACCAAGGCAGUGAUGGUAUAUGCCUUCUCUCAAGAUAUGUAGUAUUUGUGGUAUGAAGCAUAGUGACAUUGUCUUCUCUCUUACCCUACUCUAAUAAGGCUUUAAUAUCUGAAGCUCAUAGGUGGGAGAUAAAGUAUACAUACUUACAAGACAUUUAUUGCAUAGUCAAACCAUGGAUCCAAAGAAACAAAUCAAUAAGCCAAAUCAAGAUGUGCAUGUGUGGUGAAUGAAUGGUGUAUGGUGAUGAUGGUGAUAACAAUGGUGGUGGAAGCCUAAUUCUACUUUGCUCUUUGAGGGGAUACAUACCUUCCUUGCUUUUGAAACUUUAUGAGGAGAAUGAGAUGCUCUUCUUUUUCUUUUCUUUCGAGGUUCCGAGCACUUGCUCCUUUUUAUUUCCUCAUAUCUUUUAUUUUCUUUUUCUCUUCUUUUUUUCAGAGCAUUCAUCUCUUGAGAUAAUAUAGCAAGUGGUAGUAACAAGAUAACUUGAGCAUUUAUUUCACAAGGGGAAACAGAAAUAUUUUUGGUUAUUCUCUCCCGGAUUAGGAGUAGAAUACUUUUGGGUGGUUUUGGAGAUGGAAAUGAGUGGAUAUAUAUGGAUGGUACUUCCGAAGUAGAAGUAGCAUGUAUGAGUGAACGUGCAAGUGAAUAUUGAUUUAACCACAUGACAAGCUCCUAAGGGUCUACACAACUUGACCACACUCAAUGCUCAUAAGCAGUAAAUAGUAAAUGCGUGGCUCAAGGUCUAGCAAGCAUGUAUAUAUGGCUGUGGUAGGAAUUUAAACUCUCAUCAUACAGGAGCUCAUCAUGUGUUAUUUUAUAGAUUUUUCAAAGAUAAAAUUCUCUAGAAUUCUAGCAUCUCUAGGAACAGAUGAACAGCAGCUCAACCUUCCCAUAUCGUAUCCGUUAACAACUUAGACUUCAGAUCAAGUUUUCAUCCCACAAGUUUAGGUCUAGAGCAAGCCUUAAAUUAUAACAGUUAUAUCUAAACUUGAGAGAGAACUUCAAAUUUGCAAAUUAGGCAGAGCAACUAUUCAUCAUAUCCAUGCUUAAGUUUUAUUAGAUACAGAUUAGCAUAGCCACUUUAUUUAUUUAUUAAACACACUAAGCGAAAUAUAUAUAAGCAUAGAAUCUUUAUUUGGUUUUUCAUAGUUAUGUGUAUUUAUAUUCUAAUAUAGUAUAAGUAUAAAGAUAGAUAGAAAUACUUAUCGAGAUAAAUGGGGGUGCUCUCCCCCAAGCUGAAUUUUGACGUAAUUUCUCUUGAUGUAGCUAGCAGGUGGCAGAGGUGUGUUUGAAAGUCAGCAGUAUUUUGACAGCGAUUAGAAUGUCCUCCGUCUGCUAGUCUUCUUUGAUCCUUAAAUUCUGUGGAGCUCAAAUAGACAACAAAGCUUUGUGGAACUGGUUAAGUGUUAGCAUAAAUAUCUAGCCUUUAUCAUGUUGAGACUCCUUAAUAAAUAUUACUCCCUGUUUUUAUAUUUUUGUUUUUAUAAAGCAGAAAAAUAUUUAUUUUAUUUUUAUGCCACCACAGUGAAUGUACUUAUGGGUUUUAUGCCACUCGUCUACUCACAUGGGGCUUAUAGUUUUUUUCACAUUUUUAUUUUCUUUCUAUGAUAAUACGAACAUGAUUAACUAAGUAAACUAUUUGAAAUAAUUAAAAGGGAAAGGAUAACUAUCAAGUUUACCUCUUGGCAAGGCGUUCGGUGUUUUUAAGUCCUCCGAGCGGGACUCUCCAUUUUCUUAAUCGUCCUGGGAUUCGCUGGAUGACGUAGUCGGUGAUUCCGGUGGCGCCUCCUCUUCGUGUGUAACUAUAUUCUCUCUCCACACCUGACUCGGUGCUAUGGUCUCCUCAGGACGGUUAUGUUCAAGUGGUAUGUCUUCAGUCCUUAUCACUUCUCCUUCGUAGUCUACCCAUCCGUCCUCAAUGAUUUGCCUCCUCUGGUUGGGGUUGCGAUGUCUUCUUCUUGUCCUGACCUGCUUAGAGUCUUCAACUAUAUAGUUAGGGUCAGUAAAACAGCGGCAUACCUUCUCAGAGGAGAAGUGUAUGUGGACUUCUCCGGUUCCAAUAGAUGAUGGCUUUGAUAGUGCUGAGGAACUGUCUUCCAAGGAUGGUGGGUGGAUCAUAUUCAUCUUCUCCCAUGUCAAUAACUUGCAAGUCAUCUAUAGCUGAAUGUAUAUUGGUUGUAGGGGCAUGGUUUCAUGCAGGAGCUGAUAAGUGACUACGGCCAUUAUGUUGACGUCAGAUCCGGUGUCGUAGAGUGUCUUCUGAAAAGAGUAUCUGUUGAUUGUGCACUCAAUGCUUAGAACACCAGGGUCAUCCUUCUUGAUCAAGAAAGGUGACUUGAGUCGACGAUCUUGACCUCCUUGAACUGCAGUGACCAUCUUAGCUGACUCGGUCCACAUUUGCUUGUUCCUAUUCCUCCUGUUAGUCCUCUUCCUUGGUUGAUGUCGGGGUUGCUCUGAAGUUUGUGUAGUCUUGUUCUUGAAGGAAAGUCUCCUUCUUCCCCUUGAUGUAGAGACUGAUCUUGGCAGCAUUAGCGUAGAUGACAGCUCUAGUGUUUAGGAAUGGCCUCCCUAAUAUGAUGGGUGCCCUCUCCUCAGUACCAGUCUCUAUCACCAUGAAGUCUGCUAGAGCAUACAUGGUACCAACUCGGACGCAGAGGUUCAUCAAUAUUUCCUUUGGGAAACUGAGUGUCCGAUCUGCAACCCUAGGCAUAAUGUUGACGCUGGAGCCAAAGUCGCAGAGUGCUUCUGGGAAGUCCACCAUGCCGAUGGAGAUCGGGAUGACGGGACGUCCUAGAUCACCUCUCUGAGUAAUUAGGCCUCUGUUGAUUCCAACCUUGAUGUUGAGGACGGUUGUAGUAAUAGUUGUUAUUGUUGUUGAUGUAGUUCACGUCCUCAAGCAUCUUAGGGCAGUGAUUGCCUCAGCGUCCAGUAUCUCCCUUGUGUUUGUGCUCGUAGAUCCUAGUUCUUCACUUGGUGGAAUCUGGGAGUUGUAAAACUCCUUCAUAUUAUGCUCGAAGUGAUCCUGCUCAUAGAGACAAGGUAGAGAUCAAGUGCAUGGGCCCUGUUGGUGGAAAACACCAACAGAACCAAAAGUGUAUUUGUUCUUCUCUAACCUUAAGCAUAGUGACCAAGACAAAGUUGAUGGAUCAUGAGUGUAGCAUUUGUCAGAUCAGAUGGCUCAACCUAAUGGAAAGAUAAUCUAUCUAUAUUUAUGUUUUGUUUAUAUCUUCCAAAGAUUGAAUGUGCAAUACUUUAGCUUAUAUGAUUAGGAGUGUGGGGUCACGAAGGUAGUACUAAGAACAAAGAUUAAAGGACUAAACAUGUUGAAUUGAUUGAGUUGGUUAAUUUGGAGUUAUAAAUCAUACAUGUUUGUCUCUUUAUUUAUGUGAAUGCCAGAACCAAGGAGGAGCUUAUAAAAGUGUUAGUCAAGUACCUUAAGAUGUUACCUUACUUGAAGAGUGAUGGUACAGUAUCACCUUGUGGAAGCUUUCCUUUCUUAGCGGUUGUGCAUCGUGCUUGUGGCACCCUCCAUGAAUCAUCUCUUAUGAGCUACGUCUUUCUUGUGCAAAUUGUUAAACUUCAUGUGUCACUUUCAUCAUCUCUAAUGAGUUUGCAUCUCAGGACUUCCCAGGUUGUUACUGAAAGUUUUCCUACAGGGGUUAGUCCAACAAAAUAUACCAAUAUCUACUCAAGGAGUUUUUAGUUCAGUAACCAAACUAGACUCCAUGUCUAAUCAGAUUAAGGAAGGCUAUUUAACCUAAGCACCACGCUUAAUUUAAAUGCCAUUGGAAGUGUGACCAGUACUUCCAAACUAACACUUACUAGGAUAAACAAAGGUAGCAUGAUGGCUUUUAUAGAGAUCUACUCAAGUGGAGAUGAAGUAGUGUGAUUAGUAUUUAACAAAUUGAGCAUGUCUCAAAGGUAAGGACAACCAACAUAGCAACAUGGCAAAGGAUGUUUUAUGUAAAGUACUCCCCCAAGCGUGAAUUUUGCAAAAUUCAAGAUUGGAUGAAUUUAAUUUAAUGUUGCAUGAUGAUUGGUUGGGCAUACCUUGCGCUUGUCAUUCAUCCGAUCUUCUUGCUCCAAUCCUAGAAAGGUUAGUGGCAAGAAUACCCGAAGGAAUAUUUCUACAAUUAUCUUUAUAUGCUCAAUACACAAGGCAAUGUUGCAAAUAAUUAGAAGUGCUUGUUUUAGGACACUAAGCUUGUCCUUGGGGAACCAUCAAUUAACUCAACGAGAUCUGCAAUAUUUAUUAUAGACAUAUGCAUCGACAAUCGCCCUUUUAAAGUUUUUAUAAAUAGAAAAGAAGAGGGGGUUGGAGAUCUCAAAUGUGGUAAGGAUGGAGAGACAAAUUGAUUGGAGAGAUGUUUUAUAUGAGCAAGGACUGGGUGAGGUAUUUAUGAAAUAACUUCCAUGCUCACUGUUGUUUCUCUCAUUCUCAAUCUCCAAUGAUGAUUCUUCAUGAAUGCUUAAAAUUCCUCUAGGAUUGUCUCUCAAGUUUGUUUUAUCUAUCCAUUCAAUGGUGAUAGCACAUGGAUUUUUAAUGCCCUCUAGCCAUCGAUGUUGCUCUUCUUGAUCCUCCUUCUUAUGCAUGAGAUGUCUAGAUAGAUUCAUAGGAUUAUCGGGAGGUUCAAGAGAAAGAGCAUAGUAGAAACUAUUAAGCUCAAGGAUGGGAUGGAUAGGCGAAUUAUGGGAUUGAAAUGUUUGGAAAUUGGCUAUGGAAACUUCCUUUUCUCGUCUGGGAGAUGAUUCCUUCUCUAUCUCUAAGAUUUUUCUAUGAAGACUAGUACAAGAAAGAUGUCCACGAAUGAAGACAUACCUUCCUUUACUAAUAGAUAAAGAAAGAAAGACUCUACCAAAGGUUAUAUGAUUAAGACCAAUGUGAAAAUAUCUAGGAAAAACAUGGUCUUGUAGGGCUAGGUCUAAACCAGAAUUUAUAGAAAGAUUAAAAGAUUCCCUAGGUGUAGCUAAAAGUGCAUUAUCUUCUUGAUUAAAAGAUAGGACCUCAGCUAUAGAAAAGGGUUGGUUUUGACCUAUUGCAAUCAACUCCGGACACAGAUCAUAAUUAGGGGCAGGACGUGUUGACACCCAUGGUCUAUGGCUGGUCUCCGAAGGUGCAAAGAAUUUAAUUAUAGGUAUGGAAUUUGAGUUAUCCAUAAAGAUAAAAAUAAAAUGAUAAAAGAAUAAAAGUAUAAAAGUAUAAUACAAGAUAAUAGCAAGACUCAAAGUUAUCUCAGCAAACCGUCUUUCUCCUCGGCAACGGCGCUAGAAAUGCUUGUUGAUAUUUGGUAACGCAAUUAGAAAAUGAUCCGCAAGCGCACGGAUAUCGGUGAGCAUUUCACCCGGGAGGUUAUCCAAAGUUAUCGUAUUUAUAUUUUUACCACUGGGAGAAAGGGUGCAUCUGACUAACCAAAUCUAUUGCUACUAUCCCUUUAGGCUACAAAGAAUGUCUCUCGAUAUGAGUGAUGUAUAGAGAAGACUGCAACCGUAGUCUCGUUCUAACCUUGGUAAGGAUGAUCUACUGUUCUAUUGGGGAGGCUCACGGAAUCUAGACAACACAAAGGAUGUUCGACCCGCACCUAUAAACCUACCCGUCCUGCUAACGAGAUGUGAUCUGCAAAGGUAACUCGGAAAUGUCACGUUCCUCGCUACUACCAUGGUCCAGCUAGUCAGGGGAUAUCUAUGAGUACCCUAGCCUAAACACCACGUGAUUACUCUAAUACUCAACCGGAAGAGGAUUAAAGUAAACUCAUAAACCAAAGAACAAUAAAACAAGAACUUACUAGUAUUAGAAGUCGAAUUACUGAAGAAUCUUAGAAGCAAGCCUCGGGUUAGGAGACUUGAUCCCGUAGGUACAACUCGGAGUAGACACCGCCAGGUCGGCCUUCCUCCGAUCCACACCUCCACUCUAUCUCUCUCAAUCUAGUAGAAACUAGAAGAUCUAUUUCUACUUUACAUUGGUUGCUAAGCCUAAAAAGAAAUAUUACUUAGAGAAGAGGUUUUCCUUCGAGGGCACCCCUCAAUCUCUAUGAUAAUUUCUUGUCUCCUCUAGGGCCAGAGGGGGUCUCCUUAUAUAGUCCUCCCCUUCUAUGCAUUUUUGGGUCGAUAGGCGAGGUGGUACUAUGUUAUUCUGGAUCCAAUAGGUCGGUGGAACGUCGUGUGCGAAGAGAGUCCGGAACGGAGUCUAGAGGGAGGCGGGCGCCCAGGUCCUCAGGGCGGGCGCCCUGGGCCUGGCCCCUUUCGGGCUCCGCUUCCUUCCCGUGGCUUCUGGAGUCUUCUAGAUGGUAGAAAAUUGCGCGGUGGGUUGAUAUCUCUAUGUAAUCCCGACAUGUGGGCCUUUCUUCCUUAUUUCCUGAU